rnacentral:lncRNA from 1 species
UCGGAGAGGCUUCUUACAUUUUGGGAAUAAGGAUAGUAAGAGAAAGAAGUAAGAGACUAAUUGGACUUAGUCAGAAUACUUACUUAGAGAAGGUACUAAAACGUUUUAGUAUGGAAAACUCAAAGAAGGGAGAACUACCGAUACAAAGUAAUGCCAAAUUGAGUAAGACUCAAAGUCCGAGUACCGAAGCUGAGAUAGCAGAAAUGAGCCGAGUACCAUACGCUUCCGCAGUUGGCUCAAUCAUGUACGCUAUGACUUGUACUCGCCCUGAUGUAGCCUUCGCUUUGAGCAUGGUUAGCAGAUAUCAAGGGAAUCCUGGCAAAGCACAUUGGAUUGCGGUGAAAAACAUCCUUAAGUACCUUCGGAGGACGAAAGAAUGGUUCUUAGUCCUAGGAGGGAGUAAUGACUUGAAGGUGCGAGGGUAUAGUGACGCCAGUUUUCAGACCGACAGGGACAACUACCGUUCGCAGUCGGGCUGGGUCUUUACCCUAAAUGGAGGAGCAGUGACAUGGAAGAGUUCCAAGUAGGAAACCGUAGCUGAUUCAACGUGCGAAUCAGAGUACAUUGCAGCGAGCGAAGCGUCGAAGGAGGCAAUAUGGCUAAAGAACUUNACAAUCAAAGAGUACUCCAACUAAAAAGGAGGAAGUUCCAAAAGCUAAAAGACGUGUACAUUCGAAAGCAUGAAUUAUAGAUACGUAGUGCUAUUCUUUCUAUUCUGAAGCAUCCACGUGUUGAUCAAACUCUUUUUGUUUUCGCUAUUCUAUUAGCUCGAUUUAUUCGAUCUGAUUCUAAUACAAGAGUUUGGAUCGUUAUGUGUCUUGUGCGAGAUAAAAUCAAAGGUCAUUAGAAUAUGGCCAUUCGAGUUGUUGUUAUAGCAAAAGUAAAGACCUUAUCUUGGGUUUAGUCUAUAAACCAAGAAGGAACAGGAGUCUGUAAUGAGAAUUGAGUUUUAACUCAAAGAUUAGGAUCAAAUAUUCAAUAUAGAAUGAAGAGCGGGUGCAAGUUUGAAUACCGCUAGUAACUAGGAAGUUUGAAGAAUUUGACAAUCGUGUGGCAAAUCUUAAAUAUUAUACAUUUUAGAUUACCACAAAGGAAGUAAGUUAAGAACUCGAAUGUUGUGACUAGUAAUUUUCUCGUAAACUCUAGAUCUGCUCACAUUUUAUUUGAUUUCAAUGCCUCAUAUUCUUUCGUGCCUUAUAAAUUCACUCAUUCUUUUUUAAUUUCUUGUUACGCAAUUGUCCAAUCAUUUCAUAUAAAUAACAUAGGAAGUAUAUCAUUACUUGUUGAUAAAGUUUAUAGAGAUUAUGUUAUAAGAAUUGAAAGUUAUAAUCUUCUUGCUAAUAUCUUCUUGCCCAACUUUGAUAUUAUUCUCGUCAUGGAUUGGUUGUCAAAGAACCAAGCAAAACUCUUGUGCUACGAAGAGAUAGUAUGCAUCCUUAUCGAAGAAGAGGAUUCUAUUUAUGUCUACGUUGAAAAUAAUAACUUCUUUCUUAAAAACUCGUAAAUUUAUAUCGAAGAGAUAUUCUACUUAUCCAGUUAAUGCAGUUAAUAUGUUAAGAGAAUGGAAGAAAAUUGUAAAUGAUGUUUCCAUUAUUAAUGAAAAUCUUGAUGAUCUUCCCGACGAAUUGCCUGGUCUACCCCGAAUAGGCAAGUAGAAUUCUGAAUUGACCUUAUGUCUGGUGCUACUUUAAUUACCAGAGACUGCUAUAUAGAAUGAUAGCAUUUGGGUAAUUGUCGACAAGCUGACUAUGAGUGCAUAUUUUUCUCACCAUACGUACAAUGGUUCUAAUGGAGAAAUAAGCACAAGUUUACUUAGACGAAAUUGUGGCGAGACAUGGUGCACCACUAAAGAUUAUUUCCGAUUGUGAUACUCGUUUCACUUCUCACUUUUGGGUGAGAAUGAAGCAUGAAUUAGGAUCUUGAGUUGCUCUUAGUACAACUUACCAUCCUCAGACAAAUGAUCAGAAGAAGAGAGCAAUCCAAAUAGUAGAAAAUCUACUGAAGGUAAAUAAAGUACUGUUUGAGCGUAAAUGUCAUACUCAAAUAUGUUGGCGUGACGUAGGACAUAAGAUAUUUGGAGGAUCUAAAAUGAUUCAAGACAUCACUGACAAGGUACAAAUUUUCCGAGAAAGAAUGAAAGCGGCCCAGGAUCGAUAAAUGUCCUAUGUAGAAAAGAGGAGACGACCCGUAGAAUUCCGGGUGGAUGAUUUAUUAAUACUGAAGGUAUUUCAUGAAAAGGCGUUAUUCUACUUUGAAAGAAAGAACGGUUGGUAAGCAAGCAUACUGCUUGGAAUUGCCUAAAGAUUUGACAGAUAUUCAUGAAGUGUUUCUUGUGAGCUAUCUGUGUAAUGGUUUACGCAUAUAUGAUGAAAUGGUUCUAUUAUCCAAGGUGAAACUGGAUAAUAAGUUAAGUAGAAGAGAUCGUAAAUGAAAGAACGACUAAUCUACAUAAUAAAGAAGUAGAGUUGGUGUUUUUCAAGUAGAAACACCAUCGAGGCCCAAAUUAUAAUUGGGGAAAAUAAGAAUGAGAUAAGAGCGAAGUAUCCCCAUUUGUUUUAAUUGUUAUGAUUUCAGGGACGAAAUCCUCAAAAGGAGGAGGUAUUAGUAACAUACACGUUCUAAAAUUGUGUAUUUUUAUUAUUUAAAGUGAAUAAAAUUGAGUGUUGAGUUCUAACAGAUAGUUUUUACUAGAAAUGAAGUAAAACUACGCUUAGAAUCAUUCAGAAAGUAUUGGAAGUCUUAUGAGAUUGCAAUUAAAAGCCAAAUAGUGAAAUUUAGCGAAAUUAUAAAAUUUGAAAUAAGUAAAAUUUUAUUAUUGAAAGUUGUAGAUAAUCUCGUUAGAAACAUUUAGGCGAAAACCUCAUCGAAAUCUGAGUUAUAACGAAGAAGUUAUGACCAAUCGAAGAUCCGUGACAAAAUCGGCACAGCGCCGAAUAACGUAAAAAGUGAGUUUUUGAUAAACUACUUUUUAGCCAUAGUAAUCUAAAUGAAAGUCGUAUUAUUCGUUAAACUGAGAAGUUCGAUAAAAAGAACGCCAAAAUCUGACUUCGUGUGAGGAAGUUAUGAUUUUUCGAAGUUUCAGCUUAGCAAUUGACAACUAAAAACUCGAAUUUUAGAUCAAGUGAUUUUUAGCCGACACAACCUAAACGAGAAUUGAAGGUAUCGUCAUUUGUACUACAACGGUAAAAAGUCUGAUGAAAACGGACGUCGGAUGAAGACGUAAUAAAUUUUUAACGGAUUUUUCUAUCCCGGUCUGUUAAAAAUAAUAAUAUUAAAAUUAAAAUCAUAAUUAGCCAACGAAGUCUAAACAAAAGUUUUAGAGCAUAAUUUUAGCUAUGUGUGCAUAUAAAGAACGUCAAAAACGGAGCCCGUAUGAGAAAGUUAUGGAUUUUACAAGAUUGGGCACAUUUUCGUUUAAUUUUCGCAUGAAUAGUGUUGAUCCACGUGGCAUCUUCUGAUUGGACCGCAGCGUCGCGUGGCACCCUCUGAUUGGUCCGAUGAUGUUUCCGCCUCAUUUCUGACGUCAUGACUCACCCUUGCCCAGAUCCGACGCGUGUCGCGAUGAGUCGUGCAAAGCAGCUUAGUCACCCGGUGACUCCUCGCAUCCGAAGACGCCUAUCGUGUCCGAACCGAGCCACCUGGAGCCCUCGCAUGCGCGCCGUCUAGUCCUCUCAUGAGCUUCCAGAUGCCCUUCCUCCCUUCGGCCGAAGACCUUUGCCUCCUAUAAAUAGGAGGGUGCGAACCCUCCCGGCUAAGGUUAGAAAAUUCACACUUUUUCACUCCUAAACCAAUUUUUAAGCUAUUUCAACAUCCCCCAAAGCCCCGGUAUUAUUUUUAAAGCCCGGAGUACGUCCCGAAGUGCCCGAAGAGCCCGAGAAAUGUGGUCCCCUUGAUGAUUUGGUGAUGACAAACAGAAGUGCUCGGCCAGGCCUGGACUGAUUUGAUUUGUUCAACUAGUCAGUCGUCAUAAAUUGGAAAUCGGGAAACAACAAAUGGACAGAGAGAAUGAUUAUAAUCCAUGUCUCAGUCCAUAUGAUAUCUAUAAUAGAGGAAUAUAUGAUCCCUUAUCUAAUGGACAAGUCAUUGACUUGUUCAGAGUUCGCCAGCGGCUUUUAAGAGCUACAAUUGCUAGUCGGGAUCUUGGAGUCAUACUUGAAUAAUUGUUUUAGACAUAUCCAAGUGGGAGACUGUUGGAUUAGGUGUCUAAGCCCAUAACUAUUAUUGGUAUGUAUUCGACCCGAGAGUAGCAUGGUCCACUUGGGUUGCAUAUCAUCAGGACAAUUUGUUAGGUUGGACUUUUUGAGAGAAGGUUAUUUAUGGUUUAUUAAUAUAUUAUAAGUUAUAAUAUAUUAAUAUUAAAUCACAUGUUUUAAUUAUUUUUUAUCAAGAAUUGAUUUGGAAUUAAUUUAGUGGUCAAAAGAGACUAAUUAAAUCUAUGGGGUCUAAUUAUGAUAAUUAGUUAUAUUUAUAUGUGUUGGGCUUAUAAUCCAUGUUGGACCGAGUUUAUGUAUGGAUACAUAAAGAGUUAGGCCACAUGAACCAUGGAUCAUAAAACCCAUGGGUAUGGAUUUGGGUUAUAUCCAUGACCCUAGAAAUCCCACAUAUAAAUAGAUACUUCAUUGCCCAAAAUCCCCACUUGUAUCUUCUUGGAGUUCAUGGUGUCUUUUGUGUGCAUAGAAUUCUCUCUCAAGUUCAUCCUUUGUCCAUGGUGUGUUGUGAUUCCAUUUGAGGCUUCCACACUAUUGGGGCUAAGCUCUUUAAGGCCAAAUACACCAAGACUACAAGCUCCAUCAAAAGGUAUGUUAUGCUACGUAGUAUCUUAUAUGGUUUAUGUUAAAUGCAUGCUAGUUGUAAGAUUAAUACCUUGGAAACCAUUUGCAUGUAUAAUUAGUGAAAACAUACAUCCAAGGUAUUUAGGGUUGUAUGUGCACCAUAGGAUGUUGUAGUAUACCAAAACCCAACACUUGGAACUCUUGGCUCAAGUACUCGCCUCCUCUAUCCGAACGAAGGAUUUUGAUUGUUUUGUCGAGUUUAUUUUCAACUUCACUUUGAAACAAUUUAAACUUUUCAAAUGCUUCAUGUUUAUGUUUCAUCGAAUACGCAUAACCAAAACGACUGAAGUCAUCAGUGAAGGUGAUAUAAUAUCUCUCACCAUAUCUAGACAUUGUUUUGAAUGGUCCACAUACAUCAGUGUAUAUGAUGCCUAAUAAAACACUUGGACUUUCACUUGUUCCAAAGAAAGGGGAUUUUGUCAUCUUGGCACAUAAACACGAUUCACAUAUGUCAAAUGACUCAAUGUCAUUUCCCCCCUAAAGUCUACUCUUUUGGAGUUGAGAUAUGUGCUUCUUAUUUAUAUGACCAAGGUGACAAUGUCAUAGAUAUGUUUGGUUCAAAUGUAGUUUGGGCCUUAUAGUGUUAACAUGAUAAAGAGACUUAUUUUAUGAGGUGUCAUCUAGGUUUAAUUCAUAUAUUCCAUUUAUUGGUCUAGCCUCAAAAUAGAAGAUUCCUUUCAAGAAAGAGUGAAUGUUAUCAUCAACAAAUUUGAAAUCAUAACCAGAUUUUCUCAAAUGUGAAACUGAAAUGAUAUUUCUAGUAAUAGAAGUAAUUAAACACACAUUGUCUAAUUUCAAGUACAGACCAGAUGGUAAACAUAAAUAAAAAUGUCCUAAAGCUUGGACCGUAACAUGUGUUCCAUUGCCGACAUGUAAUACCAUUUCAUCUGCUUUCAGUUCCUUACUCUUUCUGAACCUCUACAACGAAUUACAAAUAUGAGUUCCACAACCAGUAUCUAAUACCCAAGUGUUAGAUGAAAAAGUAAAUAAUCCCAUUUCAAUCAUGAAAAUGGAUAUACCUGAAGGGCCUUCCCCGGCCUUCUUGUUUUUCAACUCUGCAAGGUACUUAGGACAGUUCCUCUUCUAAUGCCCAACAACUCCACACUCAAAUCAUGUUUCAUCUUUGGCAACCUUUUCCUUCUUCUUGGGUGGUGGGUUUUGAGGAGUUGUCUUCCCUUUUCCCUUGCCAUCUUGCGGCUUUCCCUUGAAGUUCUUACCUUUGUUCUUCUUGACUUUUCCUUCCCUAAUCAUGAGCACUUGGGGAGCUUUACUUGGGAUAUUCUUCUCUAUAGUUUUUAGCAACCUGUGCAACUCAGAGAUAGGUUUCUCCCACCCAUUCAUGUUAUAGUUUAUGAUGAAAACAUUGUAAGACUUUGGCAAAGAGUUCAGAAUGAUAUCUGUAGCCAAGUCUUGUGGGUAUGGAGAGCCCAAUCUCUCCAAUAGAUCCAUGUAGCUUUUCAUCUUGAGAACAUGUUUGCUCACAUUCCCAUUCUCCUCCAUUUUCAUGGAAUGAAGUGCUCUCACAAUGUCAAACCUUUCAGUUCUAGCUUGUUUUCCAAACAUCUCCUUGAGAUGUUCAAUCAUGUCAAAGACAGUGUAGUUUUCCAGAUCCCGUUGAAGAUCGGGAACCAUAGAGCCAAGCUUAAGACAUGAAACAUCAAGUAAAUCAUCUAUAUGCUUUAGUCAUGCAUCAUGUGCAGCCUUUGGGAGAGCAGGUGGUUCAUCAGGGGUUUAGUUUUCAAGGACAUAGUAUUUCUUUUCUUGUUUCAAAAUGAUUCUUAAAUUUUUGAGCCAGUCCAAAAGGUUGGAGUGUUUGAGCUUAUCUUUGUCAAGAAUUGACCAAAUGUUCAUUGGGUGAUGUGUUACAGUAAUUGGUGGAGCCAUCUACACAAUUUUAACAAGGUUUUCAUUUAGUAUUUAAUUCUUUAAAUAAUAAUACCCCUUUUGUUUCCUAAAACAUUAUUUAUUUAAAUUCUAGGAUCCAAGUUACAAAUCAAAUAAAUGGUUAGAUAUCCUUUAUCCCAUUUACCCAUAUUUAACAAGGUAAAUAACUUGUGAUUAAUUACACCAUUUGUAAUUCCUAGAUUUAUGAGACCCUUAACAAUCUAUUUGUUAAUUUGACAUGUUUGGUCUCAUCUAUGCCUUGGAAUACUCUUGCUUAGGUGACCUGUAUCACAAGAGGUUUCCAAUAAAGUCAUCCAUUUAGAGACACUUGUACAAUUGGUCCAUAACUUGGUUAUAGAAAUCACAAAAAUACUUUGGUCAUCUAAAGAUGAUACUAACGGUUACGUAUCCUUUAUCCCACUAGCGUUAUACAAGUAAUGUAAAAAUGUUUCUAAAAUUGGAUGCCAUAGACUUGCAUUUUGAAAAAAGAGAUUUGUAUGUUUUAUUAUUCUAUUUAAAACAUGUGAUAUCAUGACAAUUUCAUGCAUCCAAUAUGUCAUGGUAUCAAUUUUUCUAAAAAAUCACUUUUAAGGUUCUUAUAAAAAAACCCGAUUUUUAUAUUUCGGUUUGGUUCAAUUUUAAAAUUAAUAACUAGUAUUAAGUUUGUGUUUGAGCCAUGUAGAAACUUUUAAAUAUUGUUUAACAAAACUUUCUUUCAUUAAAUAAUACUUUGGAGUUUGAAUAAGUUAUAAAAACAUGAUUUUUACACCAAUAAUUCAAUAUUUCAAAAGUUGUCGUAAUUAACAAUUUUAUUGCUAGAAUAUGUUACAUCUUAUGUCCAUAUUUUACCUUUUGAAAUACAAACUACAUGUGAUGUUUAUUUUGGUUAAAAAAUAGUUAGAGUUUGUGAAAAACUAAUUUAUCAACCACACAAAAUAUUUACUUGAAAAAUAAACAACACAAACAUGCAUUUGACAUAACCAAGCCUUAAAAUAUAUAACACUUUUGUGAGCCAAUACAAAAGUGUUAAGUCCUUCCUAAGGGACAAAGGGACCAAACAUUACAACUUUUUCUUCAUGUGAUCUUCAAGCUCCCACUUGCAUUAACAACCAAAUUUGUUGCAAUUUUAUAAAAAACUUUAUAAAAGUUAUGAGCCUUUAUAAAAUCUUUAUAAAAACGGUGGGUCUCCAUGGAUCUUCAAGAAAUGGCCUCCAUGUUCACCUUGCUACAUUUUUUCAUAAAAUAAAUCUAGUCUAAAACUAAUCUAUUAAAUAAAAAAAUAACAAGAAUAAAAACUAGCUACAUUUAUUACAUACUUUAUGAAUAAAAGAAUAUUACUAACCAUUUUCAACCAAAUCACACAAACAAAAACACAAAUGGUCCAAGGCUUGUUUGUGCACUCUAAAACACAUAUAAACAUAAAACAACCUUUGUUUUUCUAAGACAACUUUAAGUGACAAAAAUGCAUGUAAGUUUUGUCACAUAAAAUAACAAUUAUAAAGUUGUCAAAUAAAAUAUGUAUGAACUUGUUUUUAUACAAAAACAAGUUAUCCAUAUUCUCCAAAAACUAAUAUUUCCAUAAAUCAAAAAUCUAACCAAACUUGCAAGGUAGAUCUGAUACCAAUUGUUGGGUUCUAUUUAAAACUUAGUUUCAAAAACUACAAAUAAUGGCAAAUAGAAGAAGUUUUAUAAAAUAACAUAAACAUUUUAACACCCACCAAGGAUCAUCUUGCAAGUAUAAGAAAUAUUUAAAACACAACCAUAGAAGGAAGAAGUGCUAACAACCUUUGAAGCACUUUGAGUCCCCUAGGGGAGGCUUGGAAGUUGAUGGAGUGAGGAUGAACCCUUGAGACACCAACAAUAUCCCAACUUGAUUAGAAUGUUAAUUCUUAUGUUAACUCUUAAGCUGGGAAAAAAAUGCCCAAGUAUAUAUAUUCCAAGAAAGAAGAACAAGUAAUAGUUUUUUCAAGAACUCAAAGCUAAAGAAGAGAUGGAGAGAGGAUGAAGAAGCUCACAAAUUUUUGGGCAAAAAUGCGCGCCAAAAGGUGUGUGUAAUACAAGUGCAAGCUUCAUCCUUUUAUAGCCAUAAAUCAUGGUCUUUAACCAUGAGGUAUUUAGACUUUUAAGACUACCAUGCUCCUAAGUCAUCAAUCAUGUCUCCUAGGGUGGUUACUUUGCAUUAAACAAAUACAAAAGCGAUGCUCUCAAAAGAAGACAAAUAGUUUAAAUUUUAUAAAUUCAAAGUUUAUAAAAUAUAAACAUUGUCUUUAGGUAAAAGACAAAAGACUCAACUAGUCCAAAAUGUUGUACGUGACUUAUUAAUUCAUAUUAUGAAAUAAUGUGUUACUUGUAUUGUAAAAUAAUUAUUUUCUUAAAACAAAUAUUUUCCCAAUUUAUGAUAAGAGUUUAUGUAUAUUUAUUAAAAUCAAUUUCUAAUAAAUAAUAAAUUGUAUCAAGUUGUUGUUUAGGAUCAUAUGUUAUUUAGCAAUAUCAUUUUAAUAUGACUCUUAAGCAUACUAGAUCUUUCAUAUUUUACUCAUAUCGAAUAUCCUUUGAGUUAUCUUUCAUAUUUUACUCAUAUCGAAUAUCCUUUGAGUUAUCAAACAUAAUCAUUUCAAGUAUAAUCUCUUAUAAGCCAAUCUCUUCACCUUAUAAAGAUCUAAUUAUAAAGUUACUCAUUAUCUUUCACCGUAUUGAUAUCUUCUACAUGAAUGAACCCAACCACCUUUCAUGGGCUUAGACAUGUAAGUCUCAUAUUCUCGUUUUGGAAAUUCUCAUUGAAUUAAUCUUCUACAUGGAAUGAUUGAUAUGUGUUUUAAUGGACUAGUUUUUCAUUUAUAAUUCAUAUUCUAUUGCAUCUAACUACACCUUAUAGGCAGUGAACCUGAUCGAGUGUAGUAUAGUUUUUUAUAAGCAAGGGUGUCGAACUCAAGGGAAACGGGUAUGAUUUUGAAUCAGAUAAAUAAGAAAAUAAUUAAACUAAAGACAUAAAAGUAAAAUGGGGGGGGGGGUUAUGAUUUUGCAAGUUUAGAAACAUAAAUUAUCAGUUACAAACAACUAAAGAAAAAAAAAAGCGGAGAACUUAAUUCUAAGAUAGUAUAUUUGAAGUACUUCCACUAGAAUACGAAUCCCCCUAGUUCGAUAUGUUUAGCCCAUUAGCGUGUAAUAGAUUAAUGAGUUGGUUCCCAAAUUUUAUAACUAGUUCUCUUGGUCAUAUUUCUUAGUCUAAUGAUUAAUGAACAUCUAAUUACAAUGAUCAAGUAAUUAGUGAACACAAAACCAUUUAAAUAAAUUCAACUAUGCAUGAUAUAAUCUAAUGAUUCUUAUCAAUGGUCAUGAAAAUAAAACAAACAUAGCGUGGAUAACUAUAAUUUUCUAGCACAAUCAAAAUUAAUAAUUACUAUUACCUAGCCCUAGGAUUUGACAAAUCUUUAGUCUUAACAUAGCAUGACUAAUAACUUUCUACCCAAUUUGGUGGAAAUUGGCAUUCAAAUUAGGGCUGCGAGACCCGUAUAUUUAUAACAAUUCGUCGCCACGGCGUGGUAAAGCUCUCACCAUGUUGUGGUGUCAAGUUUCCUAGUUACAAACAAACACAUAUACUGAAGAGAGAGUUUUUCGAGAUUUUUUUGGAUUUUGUAAAGGGUGUGGUGUGCCUCAUAAGGAACAUGCCACGUAUAUCAGUCAUUUGUCUGGUUUUGUUUGUUUUUCGUCCAUUUUAGCUUCGUUCUCCUUCUUUUGUAUCCCAACUCCCAUUUUAACUAUAAAUGAAUAUUUAAAAGCAUAUUAAGUAUCAUAUAUCUUGAAAUAUAACACUUUAGAUUAAUUUAUUAAGAAAAGGGCCUAAAAUAUAUACAUAAGGCUAUAUCAAAAUACACCACACUUAUCUUUUGCUUAUCCUCAAGCAAACUAGAUUGUUAUUAUACUACCAUAUCAAAACCUUUCUCACUAACAUCACAUAGAAUAAACCAAAUUAAAUUCACCAAUUAUGUCUCGUCUUAAUGCAUAUAUUUGUGUCUAAAAUCCUAAAUACUCACAAUCCUCAUAAACAUACCCCAUUCAAUUUAAAAAAAGAUUCAUUUCUGCAUCUCUUCGAGUAUACCCUUCAAAAAAUUUACUAACAUCAAGGUAUUUUUUUACGUUCCCAAGCAUACAUACGAUAAAAUAACAUAGAAAUAAAAAUUACAAUUUACUUUCGAAGCCUUAAGAAUUUGUGACUUUUGGAUCUUUAACUUGGAUUUUGCUUCAUAAUUUCUUGAUCUUAUAUGCUUCGUAAGCUCUUAUUGACUCAAUAUCUUUUUACACUAUUUUUUUCUUUGUUUCACAACUUUCUUUCACUUUUUUUCUUCUUUUCAUAACUCACUUUUUUCACUCAACAAAAAACCUAAACAAAAAAAUAUGUUUACUCUCGGAAAAUCAACCUCAUCCUUUAUUGGUUAAAGAUAUUAUUAUAAUGUGCAAUACAUAAAUUUUGUGGGGUACAUUUCAGCAAAUAAUGCAAAACUUUUUAUAUCCCUCAAACUACACAAGAUUGUGUUUUUGUCUCAUGAUUUCACUAGAAUCGGGAAGACACAAAUAUAUUAUAACAUAUAAUGUAAACAAAACCUUUAAAUCCGCAUCACAUUAUCCCACAUAAUACUAACAAACUUAGUUCUAACACAAUAAUAUCAAAACAAAGAUUUUAAACUUUCUAGGUUUUUCUAUUAAUUUAGACCAUUUUUUCAAGUCUCUAUUUGUAACACCACAUUGCGGUCUUAUAGUAUAAAUAAUCAGUUACAUAAAUAGACGUUUUGAUGGAAGACUUGUAAGUCCCUAAUCUUCUUGUGUAUCAAUCAAAUCCAAUUGAUGGUGCGGGAUCCCAAUCAAUUGGAUGAUGUCAGAUCAAAUAGAAGAGAAGGAGAAGAAGAAGAUGAUGAAUCUUCUAUGUAUUGAUAUGAAUGAAGAUCCGGAUACAAGAUGCACACACUUAUAGGUAACAAAGCGUUACGACAUCAGAGAUUUGGAGAAGUAGAAUCUCUCGAGUCAGUCUUGCCAAUGCAAACUCCAAUUUUUUCUAGAAACUCUCUGUAAGUUAGACAACACUUACUACACUUUAACUAUAACUUAUAUUUAUAUUCAUAUUCAUUGUUAUGAAUGUAUAAAUAAGAUUUACCAAUAAUUCCAGUUAUAAUAUUGAUUGAUCUACUUACGGGAUAGGUGUAUAGAAUCGUCAUGUUUGCUUGGUUGGUGGAUUUCAGAAAGGCUAUAUGUCGAGAUCGUCCGGCCUCCCAACUUUUCUGGCUAGUUGAUCCUUAUUUUAUAGAACUCUCAGUAUUCAUUAGGAUUAUUGAAUAAUCUAGCUUUCAAAUACCAGAUUGUCAUAGGGAUUAACAAGUUAUGAUAUUAUAGGUUAUUACUUUUUAGGCAUGUUAACCGCCAGUUGGAUCGCCAGUAUGAUCACCUAGAUAGCUAUCAAUCAUCUAAGUAAUUGUCCAGGUGUAUUUUCUCACUAUAUCAUGUGCUCCAGUAUAUAUCCUCUGUCUGUUAGGAUAUAGUAACCUUGUAGUAUGCCAUUAGGACAGUUCUAUUAGUUGCCUAUAGUAUUGGAUUCUUACAUGUUGUAUUGUUCAUAAAUCUUGAUAUACUAUGUGGGGGUUGAGGGUGACCCAGCAUUGGGCUAAAGGCUAACAGCCUCGGGUGAACUAGCAAUAUGAUAAAGGCCAAAGUAGCAGACCAGCUUUAUGUUGAAGGAAAAAAGGGCUGACCAGCUUUAUGCUUAAGGCCAUUAUGUGUAUGCAUUGUAUAUAUGUAUUGUGUCAUAUGGUAUUUUGGGGAACUCACUAAGCCUUGUGCUUACUUAGUUGAAUAUAAAUAUUUUUCAAGUACUUCAUGGAAUCGUGAGAAGGGUAAGGUUCAACUGUACACAUGCGCAUUCACAAUAUGUUUCCGCAUAAUGUAAUUAUAUUCUGAUAUGAUUUAAUAAAAAAUGAGAAAAAAGUAGGUUGAACAUCAGGACGUUACAAGUUGGUAUCAGAGCCCUAGUUUGAGUGAACACGAUGAACACUCGUGUGAUUCCAGACUCAAACUAAGGAUCUGAGUAAUUAAUAAAUUUUUUCAUAAAAAGAAUAAUACAAAAAGAAAAGAAUGUGAUACAUACAGUUAGCCAAAGCUCAUAAAGGAAAGUGAUUCCCAAAAUAUCCAUAUUAUUAUGAUUGUUGAUAUGUGAAAUGUUCGAAAUGCAUGCUAGUAUGUAGGCUAGCGAUCUAAUUCCUAAAUAGAUUUGUCUUAUACUUAAGAUGCCUUAUAACCUAGAAAUUUGUUGUUAGUUGUUGUUUAGAACCUAUAUUGAUAUUACUUAGUUAUUUGACAAGUACGUUAGGUUGCAUGCUCUAAAAAUUAGAUACUUUUAGGUUGCUUGAUUUGGCACUAUUGCACGGCUCUCGUUUGAGUCUAAUCGUCGUAGUGUCAGUCUUUCAGUCGACAGACUAUUUUAUUUUAGAGGCAUGCAAUCGUAAUCAUUCGAUAAUUAGUAAAUAUUGUAGAAGUUCUUCCUUAUCUAAUAUUAGAGAGAAGUGGAAAGAAAUCCUAGAAUGAUAGUCUAGGAAGUUUAAUAUAUGCUUGAUUGGGCAUAUAUACGUAAGGUAGGGCAUUCGUAAACAUGCAAGGUCAUAGUGGGGUCUAGGAAAAAUAUGUUGUAUGUGCUCAUGGAGACGCAUACAUACAUAUGUUUUUCAAUCAUUGUUUGUAGUGUUGUAAGUGAGUUGGAAACUACGAGACAAUUCUUGGGACAAGUAUGAGUAGGUGUGAAAGGUAGUAGAGGCCUAUACUACCCAAAGCACAAGACUCACACUUGGAUCAGGAAGAGUCACAAAGAUGCUAAUGCACCAGUAGUUGGUUAAAUAAUGUGGCUAACACUAUAAAAUCAUUUUACAUUGUUUCCAUCAUUACGUGUUGUAUGGUGAUGUCUAGGAGAGUGACUCUAAAUUCGGGCCCAAGAGGCAAUAAAGGGUCAAGUCCAAAUAAAGUAGAUCUAGGUAAAUUCUGAGAAUCUUGUAUGACUUAGUGCCGACUUUAGCUAUUUGAGAAGAAUAUGAUCAAGAUGAUCUACAGAAGAAUUACAAGCCUUUAUUGGGGUGAAGCAAACAGCAGCUAGAAUUGCUACCUACCAAGAUGUGGUUGUACUACAUUAGAACAUGAAGAAAGGUGACUUCUAUGUUAAGUAUUUGACUCGUAGGGACAAGAGUCUAGUUCAUUAUAAAACCUUAUGUCAUUAGAAUGUGACCAUUUAGUCGAUAGCUAUGGUUAUAUGCAAAUCUGCCAUAAUCAUAAGAGAAAGGAUCGAAUGAUUCAGACCCCAAUGCUUAUGGUUUUGCAGAAAGAAAAAGGAACGGUCUUAGUUCCAAUGCUUAAAAAUUAUCGAUUGUCUAAUGGAUGCCCAUAGGAAAAAGAACCCACAACCAAUGAAAGAGUUGUGUUGUUUCGUAUCAGAGAAGAAUAAACCAACGCUUGUAGAUGCUUCAGAUAAGACUUCAAAUAUGCUAGUAUAUCGAGUUUAUGCUCAAAUUUAUUAGUUAUAAUGUAACACCAUAAAUUUUCAACUAAAUUUUCAUUUUCAAAAUCACAUAAUUUCAAAUUGUCACUUUUCAAAAACCACAAUUGUUUAAAUUAUCACAAAACACAACUCCAUAAUUGUUUGAUAAUAAUCCAGGAUCCUCUAAAACAUAAACUCCAUCUCGUGUGUACAAUCAAGUCGGCGCCUUCCCGUGAUCUUGAGAAGUACCUGAAACACAUAUCACAUAACGCGGUAAGCACAAAGCUUAGUGAGUUCCCCAAAAUUCCACACACAUCUCAAUAGCCAUUCAUAGUUAUAUCUCGAUAGAGACCCUCGGGUCAAUGUGUCUCAUUGAGGACCCUCCGGUCCCACAACUCAGGUUGGACCCUCCGGUCCUAACUCAAUAAAGCUUGGAACAAUACACAACAUAAAUCACAAAGACAUAAUGCAGGAUAUCACAAUGCCAAAACAUCAAGCAAGGCAUCUAGGGCUCAAAAUGCCAAAACAAGCUCCAUAAAGGGUCUCAUGCAUGGAGACUUGCCCAAAGCCUGAUAAAGCUUGGAUCUUUGGGCUCAUAGAACCUCCUUUUGUGUAGAUCUGGAGUCUCAACUCCAUGACAAGCUCCAGCAACUCAGGAACCACAAGAUAAGGGGGGAAAAAACCCUAAAACUCCCUAGAAGGAGAUUUAUCAAAGAAAUGCUCAAGGUGGUAGAUUUUUACCUCCAAAAUGAAGCUAGCAUAGAGAAACACUUAAUCCACAAGCCUCUUCUCGUUCCAAGGCUUGAUGCUCUUCACUCUUUUUCUAGAUAUGCACUAAAACACCCAAAGUUAGCUCCUCUCUCUCUCUCUCUCUUACAAAUGGAUACACACAAUUAGGGUUUCUCACAGAGGGUUGGGAUGAUAAGGGCGGUGGAAAUGAGGGCUUAAGGUCCUUUAAAUAGGACACAAACCCUGAAAAUUAGCGUUUUCAACCCCAGCUCCUACUCGUCGAGUCGGGGUCCUCCGACUCGUCGAGUAGACUCUAAAAUCCUGCGGCCAUUACACUCUAUACUUGGCGAGUUGGUGCUGCCAACUUGUUGCCCUACCAAAAUGAAUGAAAUUAAUUAAAUAAUAUACCUGGGACUCGGGAUGUUACAAUUCUCCCCCACUAGAAUCAGACUUCACCUUCGAAGUCAUCCUAAGGAAACAACUCGGGGUACUGCUCUCGCAUCUCGGACUCCGUCUCCCAAGUCCAUUCGGAUCCCUUCCGAUGCUACCACUGAACCUGAAAAAAGGGCACUUCUUUAUUCCUCAACACCUACAACUUCCUAUCCAAGAUCUGUAUCUGCCUUUCAAUGUAGUUCAGGUGCUCAUCAACCUGAAUGUCCUCUAAAGGGACCAUUGUUAUCUCAUCGACUAUACACUUCCUCAGUUAGGAUACGUGGAUAGUGUUAUGAAUUUGACUCAACUCCGCAGGCAGCUUUAACCGAUAAGCCACAUUCCCUACUCGAGCGAUCACUCUGAAAGGACCAAUGUAUCUAGGGCCCAACUUGCCCCAUUUCCAUAAUCGGAUCACCCCUUUCCAUGGGGAUACCUUUAGGAGGAAAAAAAUCUCCGACCUAAAACUCUAGCUCUGAACGGUGUCGGUCGGUGUAACUCUUCUAACAACUCUGGGUCAUCGAUAACCUCUGUCUGACUUGCUAGAUCUGCUCUAUCGUCUUGAGCACUAUCUCAGUGCUCUCCAUCACUCUCUACCCUACCUCUCCCCAACAGAUGGGAGUCCGACACCUCCUCCCAUAUAAGAGAUCAAAGAGAGGCAUACCAAUACUGGAAUGAUGGCUGUUGUUGUAUGAAAACUUAGCCAAGAGCAAAUAUGCUUCCCAAAUUCCACCGAAGUCCAUAACACAUGCAUGCAGCAUGUCCUCAAGCGUCUGAAUCGUCUGCUCACUAUGCCCGUCUGUCUGUGGGAGAUAGGUUGUACUAAAGUGCAGCCGGGUACCGAACUCCUCAUGAAAUUUAUUCCAGAACCUGGAAGUAAAUCGCACAUCUCGAUCUGACACUAUCGAUGUCGGCACCCCAUGUCGCGCUACUACCUCUCGAACGUAGAUCUCGGCAAAUUUCUCCACAAAAGAGCUCUCACUGAUAGCCAGAAAGUGAACACUCUUCGUUAACCGGUCUACAAUCACCCAUAUUGCUUCAACACCUCGUGCGGUCCUCGGUAAUUUGGUGAUAAAAUCCAUGGAAAUUUGUUCCCACUUCCACUGGGGAAUCUCUAGAGGCUGCAACGUGCCAUGUGGGCGUUGGUGCUCCGUCUUGACCUGACGACAGGUCAAGCAUCUCUCGACUACCUAUGCCGCAUCUCUCUUCAUGUAGGGCCACCAAUAAUCCCUCUUCAGAUCCAAAUACAUCUUGGUGGACCCCAGAUGGAUCGAGAAUCUUGACCUAUGAGCCUCCUCCAUCAAAAUACGUCAUGCUCAACUCGUAUAUGGUACCUAAAUCUGCCCACGGAAGGUCAUAAGCCCCCGACUAUCCGUCCCAAACUCAGAAAUCUGCCCGAUUACCCUCUCUCUCUCUUAAGGUUCUAUGGUCUCACAGCCACCACCUGGGCCUCUCGGAUGGUAUCUAAGACUGGAGUCAUCACCGUCAUCCGCAUGCAUACAUCUCGGAUCGGAGCACUCACUGCUCUGCGACUCAGAUCAUCGGCUACCACAUUAGCCUUGAUAGGGUGAUACAAAAUCUCACAAUCGUAGUCUUUCACUACAUCCAACCACCUCCUCUGUCUCAUAUUCUUGUUGGGCUGAUCCAUAAGGUACUUCAGGCUCUUAUGGUCCGUUUAUAUGGUACACCGGACACCAUAAAGGUAGUGAUGCCAAAUAUUGAGGGAAAACACCAUCGCCCCCAACUCCAAAUCGUUGGUGGGAUACCUCGUCUCGUGAGGCUUCAACUGCCUCGAUGCAUAUGAUAUCAUGUGUCCCCUCUGCAUCAACAUAGCACCCAUCCCUAAUAUAGAUGCAUCACAGUAAAAUACAAAGUCCUCCAUUCCAUUAGAAAGGGCUAACACUGGAGCUUCGCACAAUCUCUGGCGAAGAGUCUCGAAUGAGGCCUGUUGCUCGGGCCCCCAAACAAAAGUAACACCCUUCCUGGUCAAUUUGGUAAGAGAAAUGGCAAUCUUGGAGAAAUCUCUGAUAAAUCUCCGAUAGUAGCCUGCCAUGCCAAUGAGACUCCUAAUCUCGGAUGGGGUCCUCGUCACCUCCCAUCGCAUAACUGCCUCAAUCUUGGCUGGUUCGACCAAAAUCUCAUUCUAGUUAACGAGGUGUCCUAAGAGCUGGACCUCUCAUAACCAGAAAUAACACUUGGAGAAUUUGGUAUAAAGCCUCUCCGUCCUCAAUACCCCUAGAAUCUCCCGAAGAUACUCCUCAUGAUGCUCUCUGGACCUCGAGUACACCAAAAUGUCAUCGAUGAACACGAUCACUGACCUGUCCAACAUGGGCCUGCACACCCAGUUCAUGAGACCCAUGAACGAUGCAGGUACAUUAAUGAGCCCGAAAGGCAUCACCACAAACUCAUAGUGCCCACAUCGAGUCCGAAAGGCUGUCUUCUGGAUACCCUCCUCGCAAAAUCUCAUCUAAUGAUACCUAGAUCUCAAAUAAAUCUUGGAAAACCAAGACUCCCCCUAUAGGUGAUCGAAUAAAUCGUCGAUCCUCGGUAGUAGAUAUCGGUUCUUGACCGUCAGCUUGUUCAACUCCCGGUAGUCGAUGCACAUCUGGUGUGAAGCAUCCUUUUUCUUGAAAAAAAGAUAAGCGUUCCCCAUGGUGAGCUACUCGGUAUGAUAAAUCCCUUUCCUAGCAGCUCCUGAAGCUGCAAGGAUAAAUCCUGCAUCUCGGACGGUGCAAGGCGAUAAGGUGCCUUGGCAAUAGGCGUCGCACCCGGAAUCAAAUCGAUCCGGAACUCCACCUGCCUCUUGGGAGGCACACCCGGUAACUCCUCGGGAAAAACAUUUGGGAACUCGCACACUAUCGGAACCUCCGAGAUAGAACUCGGUCUCUCAGUGGCAACACUCGUAUCCAUCACAUUUGCUAAAAAGCACAUGCAUCCUUCCCGUAAACUUUGUCUCGCCCUGGCAGCAGAACAGAAAGAUGACCCAGAUCUAGUCCCCUCGUAAUACACUGUAAGUACUCCCCUGCUAGGGUAUCGUAUGGUCACCAUCUGACGCUCACAGUCAAUCAUAUCUCCAAACCGACUCAACCAAUCCAUGCCCACUAUGACACAGACAUCACCCAUCGCUAUCGGCACCAGAUCUAUCAAGAAAUCAACACCAAAAAUCUCUAAUACACACCUCAAAAUACAUCAGUGGAAAAAACCGCAUACUCUCUAGCUAUAGAAACCCUCAGAAGUCGACUUAACGCCUCGCGUCUGACACUAAUGUGACGACUAAAGGAUAGAGACACAAAAGAUCGACUCGCACCCAAGUCAAAUAACACCAAAGCAGGCACAGAACUCACAAGAAAAGUACCUAUAUACAGCAUAAUGUAAGCAUAAACAAAUCUCAAAACAAUAUAAAUAAGGAGAUACGUACCAGCAACAACAUCAGGCGUUGCACGGACCUCCUCCGCAGUCAAAUGGAUAGCUCUCCAUCGAGCCCUCAUAGCCUCGGCCUUCACCGGCUGACCAUCAGUAGAGCGCCAGGCAACAGGAGUAGAAGUCGGGGCUGAUCCUUGAGUGAGCUGAGGGCACUCAGCCUUCCGAUGGCCGAUCUGGUUGAAAUGAAAGCAAACCGCAAAUCCCUUAGGGCGGUCCUUCGCCAUGUGCCCCUCUUUGCCACAUUUGUAGCAAAUCCCUUAUAACCCAGAUCCCUCAUGACUCUUGUCGCACUUGCCACAAGUGCGGCCCUUCUGGCCCCCCGCUCUCGUAUCAGCGGGCUUUGCCCGCUUUGUUGUCGGCUGCGACUGUACUGGUCUCCUGUCUCUACCCUGAGACUCCUCCUCCUCUCUGCUCUGCAGCUCUAGAUCAAACUCCCUCCUCCGAGAACUGGUCUGAAGCUCAACCAAUGUUCGGUAUGACGAGUUCGCCACGAACUCCCAAAUAUCCCUCCUCAAGAUGCUCAAAUACCAACUCACACGUGCUUGCUCAGUAGACACGUGCUCGGGGAAAAACAAUGCCCUCUCAUGUAACAUCCUCAUAAUCUCUGACACUAUUUCUGUCUUCUGCUUGAGAGAUAGAAACUCAUGGGCUAACAGUUCCCUCUCUACUUGGGGAACAUACUCAUCUCGGAACAACUGUGUAAACCUCUCCCAUGUCACUGCAGCAUGGUCUGCAGGAGUAAAACUAGUAGUCACAAACUUCCACCAAUCCUUCGCUCCCAAGCGAAGCUGGUUUAGCGCAAAUCGAACUCUCAGGUGAUAUGGGCAUGAACAUGUAUAGAAACAUCCCUCAAUAUCAUAGAUCCAUCUCAUGGCAGCAAUUGUAUCAUGUACCCCGUCAAACUCUAGUGGCUUCGUGUUGCUGAACUCUCAGAACAACAACGAGUCACCUCCCUAUGGCCUAGCAGCAGCUACAGCUACGGUGGCUGCAGCAGUAGCAGCCUCCGUAACAGGAGCGUGUAGCUCGUCGAAUGUCUCACUCAACGUGGUCUUAAUAGAACUAAACAUCUCUGGUAUGGCCUCUCUGAUAGCUAUGGCCAUCUCCUCAUGAAUGAUCAUGCGGAUGUCCUCGUCACUGCAUUGCUGCUCUCGAGGUUGUGGCGUGUACCCACCAUAAUGUCAAUGAAACACAACAUGAAAAUCAUCAGAGACUCGUUCGAGCAUACUCACACUCGAUUUCCCAUCCCUACAUGCUCCUUAGUAUUCUAAGAAUUCUUACUUGGGUCGCAUACAAAUCCAGUGCUUUCAGUAGUACAGGCCCAAUACUACCUUCCACACCAACCCGUAGUCACCCCAAGUCCUCCUCCCAGGAUCCUAAUUCACAAGUACUCUAUCUCUCACAAGUAUCAGACUACUCUCUCAGUAGGCUCCUCCUAUACCCAUCUAGGUACCUCUCCUAGAUUAUCCCUCGACUCAGAACUCUUUCUAAGAGAUUCCGCUAGGUACUCUCACUCAGCACAUACUCAAAGCAAAUAACAGAUAACAUCGUUCAACAACGUAGGUUAAGGCAUCACAAAUCAGGCAACUCUAGCCUUAAAUUAUGAAAUACCUAUCCUAGCCUCUAGCAUGUAUCCCUAAUAUCUCAUAAUAAUAACAAAUAAGGGUAUUUUGGGAAAUCACCGUUCGUGCUCUGGCUGAUUGUACACACUGCUUCGUCUCGUUUUCUCUUUAAAACUCUUACUCAUAUUUUAAAAAAAAUCAUUUAUCUUUAUCAAAUUUUAUAAAUUCCUCGGUUUGAGUCCAGACAUACCUGAGAGUAUAUCCGAGUCCCUCAAACCAAGGCUUUGAUACCAACUUGUAACACCGUAAAUUUUCAACUAAAAUUUUUCAUUUUCAAAAUCACAUAAUUUCAAAUUAUCACUUUUCAAAAACCACAAUUGUUUAAAUUAUCACAAAACACAACUCCAUAACUGUUUGAUAACAAUCCAGGAUACUCUAAAAUAUAAACUCCAUCUCGUACGUACAAUCAAGCCGACGCCUUCCCGUGAUCCUGUGAAGUACCUGAAACACAUAUCACAUAACACGGUAAGCACAAAGUUUAGUAAGUUCCCCAAAAUACCACAGAGAUCUCAUUAGCCUCUCAUGGCUAUAUCUCGAUAGAGACCCUUCGGUCAAUGUGUCUCAGUGAGGACCGUCCGGUCCCACAACUCCGGUUGGACCCUUCGGUCCUAACUCAAUAAAGCUCAGAACAAUACACAACAUAAAUCACAAAGACAUAAUGUUUGAUAUCACAAUUCUAAAUAUAAGCAUACAAGACCAUUCGGUCACACAAUGUCACCACUCAUGGUAAGUAUACUGAGAAGACUCACCUCGUAAGUAAGCAAGUAAUCCUCGUAACCCUCGAACGGUCUAAUCAUCGCCUACACGUCAUAAUCAUAUCUAAUUAACACUUAUUACCUCAACCUAAAUAAGUUAAGAUAAUCUCUUUCUCUAACCCUUGGAAAGGGUAAAAGAUCAUUUUACCCCUCCAUGGUCUCCAUAAUCCAUGUCUUGACCAAACCCUAAAAGUCAACAGAACUCAACACCUGAGUCAACACUCGAGUCAACAGUCCAUGUUGACCCAACUCGUCGAGUGCAUCUAUAUGACUCAUCGGUUUCCCUCGUUUCCUCAGAAAUAUCUUGAGAAUCCAACUUAUAUCGUCAAGUUUUCCUGUCAACUCGUCGAGUUACAACGCGUCUAGAAUCUUCGGGGAAAACCCUAACCGACUCGUCGAGUCAGCUCACGGACUCAUCGAGUCCUUUCAGUCCAUUUUCUCAUUCAUACGUUUUUAGGCAGAAAUGAUGUCUCAUACUCUGGAUCUAACCUUUUAAAACUCACUUAUCACGUAAAGUUGCAAGCUUUACGUUCAUGCAUGGCAUCUAGGGCUCAAAAUGCCAAAACAAGCUCCAUAAAGGGUCUCAUGCAUGGAGAAUUUCCCAAAGCUUGAUAAAUCUUGGAUCUUUGGGCUCAUGGGACCUCCUUUUGUCCAAAUCUGGAGUCUCAACUCCAUGACAAGCUCCAGCAACUCAGGAACCACAAGAUAAGGGGGAAAAAGCCCUAAAACUCCCUAGAAGAAGAUCUAUCAAAGAAAUGCUCAAGGUGGAAGCUUUUUACCUCCAAACUGAAUCUAGCACAGAGAAACACUUGAUCCACAAGCCUCUUCUCAUUCCAAGGAUUGAUGCUCUUCACUCUUCUUCCAAAUGUGCACUAAAACACCCAAAGUUAGCUCCUCUCUCUCUCUCACAAAUGGAUACACACGAUUAUGGUUUCUCACAGAGGGUUAGGAUGAUAAGGGAGGUGGAAAUGAGAGAUUAAGAUCCUUUUAAUAGGAAACAAACCCUGAAAAUUAUGGUUUUCUCCCUUAGCUCCUACUCGUCGAGUUGGGGUCCUCCGACUCGUCGAGUAGACUCUAAAAUCCUGCGGCCAUUACACUCUCUACUUGGCGAGUGGGUGCUCCCAACUCGUUGAGUUGUCCUGCCAAAAUGAAUGAAAUUAAUUAAAUAAUAUACCUGGGACUCGGGAUGUUACAUGUAAUCCAGCAGACAUUGUUGUUUCUUGAAAUUUCUAAUACAUUAAUAAAAAAAUCCUCAUGUACCCAUUUUCUCAUGCACGUGCGUUACUAUAUUUCUAAUAUGACUUAGUACUUGUCAGAGAACUUGUUCGGUUUUGGUCAAUGGUGUAAGAAGAUUACUCGCUAUGAGUACAAGCAGUAAUGAUACGAUGAGAAUAUCAAAAGUCAUUCGAUAUGACAAACAUGAGUUUCUUCAAAGUCAAAAGAAACCGCAAAUCACGUAGGCACCAGGUGAUAGGUUGAACCCGAGAAGGGGAGAACCGAUCCUUAAGGCGAAAGUGUGAAAAUUAGUUCGACUUUCGGUUUCGACAUCAAGGUCCAGGAGAGUGGAAGCACAGUAGUUAGAGGUUGUUAGUUCAAUUUCAUUGUGCGGGAUACAGAAGAAGGAAGUCUUCUGCUAGAUUACCCAUAUGCCUUGAGUUUCUGGGAGUGCUUCACAAGGAAAUGAUGGUCUUUCCUCCCUAACAACUAAUAGGAUUUAGGAAGUAGUUUCCCAGGUGAGGCUCAGGUAGCUAAGAGAACCAUCUAGGUUAGCACCUUCACGGAUUAGGGGUAUAUACCUGCAACAGAUGAUCAAGAAUUCAAUAGGUGGCAUAGUUUUUCCAUAGAGGGCGUCGAGUACUCAAGGGAUACAUCAGAAUUAGAAAGCUUAGUUAAGCUCGUAGUAAGGACUUAGUUGACUAAUGCCAAAAGACAAAAAGUGAAGGAUCAAUGCCAAGGAGAAAUCAUUUAUGUAAUACGAACAUUUUAACACAUUUUCUAAUGUACAUAUAGAGACGCCUAGAAGAAAAUCAUCGAGAUGGACCAUGUCGAUUAAGAGGCGUGGUAGUAAUUUCCAACGGUUGCAAAUGUAUCGGCAAUAUACAUAAUAGGAUUGAUAGAUCAAGUUGUUGAUCCAGGGUCAACCAAACGGUCUUCAUGUUAUCAAUAGCCGUUAAGAUUAACAAAGAUUCCCUAGCGUAAAUUUUCAAGAGUCAUUUUUGAAGUGACACAGUGUUAUAAAUGUGUAUGCAGUAGCGGUUUUUGGAGAUUCAGUUAUAAAGACACCUCUUCAAAUGUCAAAUAGACCUUCAAGAAAAAGAUCUAAGGAUACAUUAUGAGGUUUAGAACUACAACAAGAUGGUAGAAUAUUGACAAGGAAACUUUCAAGCUUUUAGGAUGCAAGGUUUUGGUUGGCGAUAAAGAAAACAAAAGGAUCGUAAGCAACUAGUGUAAAUUCUUAACGCACGCUCUUUUAGUUAAGAGUCACUUUAGGUAGAUCGUUGACUACAACUACAUACGCGUCAUUGGUCUUCGAGGUAAGCUACAUAUUUUGUUUAGUUAUUCCUUUAGUUAAUAAGAGUAAGAUUUAAUAGAAAACUAGGAUCGAAUUCCAACGUUCAUAGGUUAACUUUGGAUGACAGAUAGACUUUAGCAUCCGUACAGUGUAGAUUAAGGACCUCUAAUCAGUUAUAUCCCCAAAAGAUUUGUUAUGAUAAGUAGAUAUCAAUGAAGGAAGAUAACUAAGACAAUCAAAUAAUAGGUAUGAGUCUUUUAGACCACUGAAGGGUUAAUCAUGAGUCUUCUGGUCCAAAUGGGGAUGAUGACAAGACCGAUCUGGCAUCGAAAUUCUAGUAGUUGGAUAUUGGCACGACGUAUCGUGAGCGUACAGAAUGACAAAUUACACGGACAAUAGUUAUACCCUGAUAUAGGAAGAGUAGUUAGAGCCUUGCGAGAAGGUUAUUGGUGACUUAGUGUUCGUUAUAAUCUAGUAGGUUGGAAGAUAAACAAGCCUUAUAAUGAUUUUUCACCACUAUUAGAGUAUUGGUUCCAGAGUUUCGAAUCAAUAAACUUGUUAUAGUAGUUUUGGUUAGAAUUCAGGUUGUUGGAACACCUGAACUAGGUUGGAAUAGCAUUUGUAAUCUAUAUUUGUGAGUGUUUUAAAGAUAAUUCAUAAGCCUUUUAAGAGGCAUGUUCCGGAAAGUGGAUUCCGUUAGGAUUUCGUAGAUAAAUUUCCCUUAUUAAUCUCCUUAUAUCCAGUCAACAGAUUUCUGAGUCGAAGGAACAAAUCGACAUUUCACGUGUGAAGGUGAUUGUUCGUCAUAGAGUAUAGAUUUUGAAAGUAAGACUGAUGAGUUCCUGGUUUUGGAAGACUUAUCAAGGAUUUGGGGAGUACAUUUAAGGUAAAAAACGAAGUUCUAUGGCUAAAUAAGUACAGAUUGACGAAUUCGAUGCGGUAACGUUGGCUAGAUCCUAAGUUGAUUUCUUAAAACACUAGUAGGAUAGUGUGUAUACACUAUCCUAAGGUACGUUAGGAGUAGGAUUUUUGCGACGAAAUCUAUAUAAGUGGGGGAGAGUUGUAACACCCUAUUUUCGUCUUACAGUAUAAAUGAUCAGUUACGUAAAUAGACGUUUUGAUAGAAGACUAUUUAGGAUAAAUAGUCAUGGAAAAGGUCGUAGUAAAUGUAAAAGCGAGAGAAUACAUAUAGAAAACAUCCAAAUUUGACUUCGUAGGAAAAAGUUAUGAUUUUUAGUAGAUUUAGCACAGUAGUAUGCGAAGCAGAAACCAAAAUUCAAAUUGGUCGAUUGUUAGGAAAAACAAUCUAAACGAGAGUUGAAGAUCUCAUCAAUACCUAUCUGUCGAUAUAAAGAAGGUCGAGAGUGGAUACCGUAUGGGAGAGUUAUGAUUUUUAUACUGACUUCAAUAGCAUAAGCCUAUAAAAACAUAACUUUACAUAUAAUUUGAGAAUUAUCCGACAUAGUCUAACUGAAAUUUGAAGAUCUUGUAGAUAGCUACGUGUGGAUAUUAAGAACAUCGAAAAUGGAGCUCGUAUUAAGAAGUUAUGGAAUUUACAAAAUUCACAUUUUCGGUGAAAAUGGAGCUCAUAUGAAGAAGUUAUAGAUAUAAAGAACAUCUAAAAGGUGGAUAUGCAAGAGAAGCUGACACGUGGCAGCAUUUUGGUGGAGAGAGAUCAAGAAGAGGACGUGGUGUGCACCCUAAAAUCAACCCAUAAAUAGCAGCGUUUUGCUACUCAUUCUCACAUCCCUUCACCCCUAAAUUCAUCUGAAACGAUCCCGCUCCUCUAUCCCCUAUACCCCCUAGUUCCUUACUACGUUAGCGAGGCCCUACGGUAUCAGAGAGCUGGAGAAGUAGAAGUUCUCAAGUCAGAGUUCUACCAACGCAAACUCCGAUUUUCACUAGAAACUCUCUGUAAGUUAGGCUACACUUACUAUGCUUUAAGUGUAACUUAUAUUUAUAUUCAUAGUUGUUGUUAUGAAUGUAUAAAUAAAACUUAUCAGUAAUUCCAAUUAUAAUAUUGAUUGAUCUACUAAUGGGAGAGGUGUCUAGAAUAGUCACGUUGGCAUGGUUGUUGGAUUUCAGAAAGGCUAUAUGCCAAAAUGGUCCUGCCUCCCAACUAUCAUGCCUGUCUGAACAUUAUUUGACAAAAUCUUAGUGUUAAUUGGGAUUAGUGAACGAUCUAACAUUCAAAUACCAUCAUAAGGAUUAGUAAGUUAUAGUAUUAGAGGUUAAUACUUGUUAGGCGUGUUACAUGCCAGUUGGAUCGCCAUUAGGAUCACCUAGAUAGUUAUCAAUCAUCUGAUUAAUUGUCCAGACGAGUUUUUUCACUAAAUUAUGUGCUCCAAUAUAUAUCAUCAUUAUGUUAGGAUAUAGUUACCCUGUAGUAAGCCAUUAGGCUAGUUCUGUUAGUUUCAUAUAGUAUUGGAUUGUUGUCUGUUGUACUGUUCAUAUAUGUUGAUAUAUUAUGUGGGGUUUGAGGGUGACCCAGCCUCGGGGUGAAGGCCAAUAGACUCGGGUGGACUAGCAAUAUGUUAAAGUUCAAAGUAGCGGACCAACUUUAUGCUCAAGGAAAAAGGGCGGACCAUGUAAAAUCCAUAAAAUUCAUAAAAAUUUAAAACUUUUUCGAGCAUCCAAAAAUCAUUACUUAUUACAAAAUGUUUCCAAAAUAGUUUCAUAUCAGAGUAUCCCAGAAAUCAAAAUCAUAAAAUGUGAGGAAAUGCACGAUCAAGCCUUCGCCUUCCCGCGAUCAUCUGAAGUACCUGAAACAAAAUCCAAAAUUGUACACCUGAAGCUUAGUGAGUUCCCCCAAAAUACCAACGCCAUACAACCACAACAAUAUCAUAACAAAUAGCAUGCAUAUAGAGUCUGCAGAAUGAAUGGAUCGCCCUCACCGAUUCUUCAGUCUAUCUGGCCCACUCUCAGAACCUUCAGUACGUCUGGUCUGCCCUACUAAGCCCUCAGCCUGUCUGGAGUGUUCUCUAGGCCUUCGGCCUAACUAUUAUGCCCCAUUGGGCCUUCAUUCUAUCUGGGCCGCCAUGGGUAUGUUGGCCUACAGCACCAAUCAGGACCGCCUCAACCCACCCCCCAAGCAUACAAUCAACACAUAGAUAACAAAUGCUAUCAUGUACAUAUAGUCAGACCGAUCUAAUAUAUCACUAAUCAUAGCAUCAUCCUAUAUACCAGGAUACUGACCUAACAGGCCACUAAACAUAGCAUCAUCCUAUAUACCAGGAUACAAAUCUAACAAAUCAGUAAGCAUAUCAUCAUGCGAUAACCAUGAUAACAAUCCAAAAGGGCCAACAUUGGUUCCUUCGACCCUGUUAGUAUAGUGAGGAAAACUCACCUCACAAGUAGUGCUAAACUGAUAAAUCGAAUCCCAACUCACAGAUCCAAACUUAACUACCCUGUAACCACCAUAUGACUGAUUCCAUUAAAAUCCUAAUUUACCAAAAUACCCUCAGAAGUCAAACUUGGUCAACCCUGGUCAAAGUCAAAGUCAACUUUCAAGGUUAACAGUCCAUGUUGACCCAACUCAUCGAGUGCAGCUUACAGACUCGUCGAGUUCCUUCAGAACUCUGAAAACUAUGAAAACCUGAGUCAACUCGGCGAGUUACCAAAAAACUUGUCAAGUCCAUGUAGUAUCCAGAAGAUUCGGGAAAACCCUAACCAACUCGUCGAGUUCCUUCAACCCAUUUCUCAUUUAGGAAUUUUUAAGCAAAACCAAGGCUCCAAACUAUAUAUCUAGCCUCCAAGGGUGUAGCUGCCAUGUAAAGUUUCCUAAUUUACGUGCAUGCAAGGCCUCAAGAGGCUAAAACACCCAAAACUAGUCUUAGGGAGAGGUUAAAGGCAGGAAGAAAGGCCAAGACUAGAUAAAGUCGAUAACUUUAUGAUUAUGGGGGCCUAGAGGAGUCCAUAUCUGAAGUUACAACUUUAAAUCAUGCUCAACAUCCAAAAAAGGAUCCAAAUUGGGCUAAAAGGAUGCUAAAAUCUUGAAUGGAGAGAUCUAACAAGAAAAUGAUCAAGGUAACGACUUUUUACCUUCAAAAGGUUUCUACAACUGAGUAGAUGUCGGAUCUAUAAGCUCCUUCUCAUUCCAAGCUCCUAAAUCUUCAAGUUUCUCCAAGAAAUUCACUAAACAAACCUCUUUAGCCUUGUUCACACUCAAAAUGGAAGGUUAGCACGUUUAGGGUUUUCUUAUGGACGAUAGGGUGGUAAGGGAGGCUGGAGAGAUGACAUAAGGUCCUUUAAACAGGAUGCAACCCAUAAAAAUUAGGUUUUUCCUGCACAGCCUCAGCUCAUCUAGUUGGGUCCUCCAACUCGUCGAGUAGGCUUCAUAAUCUCCGCAGUCGGAUCAGUUUCUACACGACAAGUUAGGGGCAGCCAACUCGUCGAUUUGGUCUAAAAAUAUGAAUAUAAAAGCUUCAAAUUUAUACCUGGGAGUCAGGAUGUUACAGACCAACUUCGUGCUGAAGGCCAAGAGCGAACCAUCUUUCUGUUGAAGGUCAUUAUGUGUAUGCAUUGUAUAUGUAUUCGUUCUGAAGGACAACUUUAUGCUCCCCCCUAUUUUCUUCAGAAACCAAGGGGAACUAGCUGCAGCUCUUGUUAUAAAAGCGUAUCUUGUUUAACGGGUUGUUUAGCGUGUGAAUGUUUGAGAGAGGUUGAUUUUUACUUGCGGAGUUAGUGGGUUGUUUGUUGUCUUGAACUUUCUUGCUUCGGUCUUGGACGGUUCAUGUUGGUUUAGUUUCUUCUCCAAGGAUAAUGUCGGUCCAUGAGAUUUAUUUGUUCAUGUUUUUCCCAUCGGAGCGAUAUCUUUCCAAGGGGGAACAAACUCCCAUUAAAACAAAUCAGCUACCGUAAGUGAAUGUUGAGAGUGCUUCCUACUUGCUUUGUAGGGUGUUAAGAUUUGAAUAAUUCGCUCUUUUUUCUAAGUGUGCGUUUAUUUGUACCUGGCCACAGUUCUUUGGCAUUGUCCUACGAGUUCAGAAUAACGAUCUCGGGGCUCGUCUUUCCUUUGAGUCCUUAGCCUAUGUUUUUAGGCCGAGACCUUGGCUGGCCCCUUCUUGUGAACCUUGACUGGUUCGUUUUGCUAGGGUACUCUUUUUAGCUAGAGUUUUCUGGUUACCUUUUAAGUCAAGUCGAGAUCGUCACGUCGAGGCAUUUUGAACUUAGGUACUUCUGUGUCAAGGGACAGGUUGCGAGCCUUUUAAGCCUUUAUUCAUGUUGUGGUCAAAGGUUGUGGGCCUUUGAAUUAGACAGAAAUGUUUAGGGAAAGAUUAUGAGCCUUUGAACCCUAUUGGUUGCAUUCUCGCAUCGAUUUUGCUCAAGUGAUAUGGAUGAUCAGUCCUUGUUAUCACUUGGUAAAUGUGCACAACCUCUUAUUGAGAUAAUUCAAGCUUGAAUAUUAAAGAACAUCUUGAUUGUUCUUGAGGAUUCCAUCUCUCUAUUCGGUUGACUAUAAUUUAUACACAAGUAUGGGCCAAGCCUUGGGACUAGCUGUCAGGCUAUGAUUAAUUUUUUGGAGUCGGAUCACAUUUUCCUAGCCCUUGAUGUGUCUUAUUUUGUUUUUUCUCCUUGCUCUAGGAGUGAAAGUGGCACAAACUGUGCACGUUCCAAGUCUGGGGGAUAGGCUCCCUCGGCCUGUGCUUAUGAGAUGUAGGUCCCAUUUUGUCUAUAAUGAUGAUGCGUAGAGGGGGUUGUUAUGUUUGUAAAGAUGGGAUGGUGUUUCCCAUCAUCUUGGCGGGGAGUUACUAUCGUCAUCUUCAAGGUAUUUCUUGCUUAGGCAUGCCUAGUCGGAUUCCUCCGGUGGUACGUGGUGAUGCCCGACUUGUAUUGCAUGACUUGGCGAAACUGACCGGGUUUAGCAGUCUGCGAUCACUUAGGCUUUGUUGCAUUAUGAGUUGUGGUGAUGGUUGGUGCGAUGUUGCUGAGAGCUGGGAAGCAAGCUUCUUGUGGGAAGUUAGCGACAUGACUGCCAAGAGUUGGGUUACGAGGUUGUUGUCUAGAGUUGGACCACUAACCCACCAUGUGGAGUUAGGUUGUUAUUCAACAUGGAAUUUUACAUCAUCCUGGUGGGAUGUCACCACUAAUCAUCUUCAUAGUCUAUUUCUUAUGAGAAUUGGUAACCAUCUUCAGCUGGCACGGGUGGUUGUAUCAGGCUACGGCGAGUACGACAAGGUUGGUAUAGGAAUGCAUAGUUGAAUUCUCUUUAGGACGAUAGAUAGGAAUAGUGUUGUCAAGAGGCAGGCAACAACGAUUCAUGAACAUGUCACGCGGAAUAGCGUCGCGUGGAAAUGGACCAGGCUUAGCAGCCAGCGACCAAGAAUGUGUCUCACGAGAUGGCAUUACGUGGAAAUGGACCAACAAAGGUUGUGAACCUUCAAGUCUUGUCCGCGGUGUGCGUCACGACAGUGGGGUCAGGCUGAGAUGCCAAUUAGCUCAUGACGAAGCUUAUGUCUAAACCUUGCAAGCAGAGCAUGCCGCUAUAAUGGAGUCGGGCUGAGAAACCAAGCGACUCAAGGCAAGGGUUAUAAACCUUCUGAACCUUUAGCAAGAUUGGGCUUAGCAGUCUUCAAUUUAUGUGUCCGGUCCGAGUUUUUGGUUCAUCCAUAAUGUAAACGUACUCUAUGCUUUGCUACACCAUUAUCUGUAGCGACAAACGGUGCCCCACUGCCUUGGGCAUAAUGAUACCGUUUGCCAAGAGUUGGGGCUAUUAAGGGUUGGACAACAAAGUUACUCAGAGUCGGGAAGCUCAGCUACAGAGAGCUUGUGCAGUGAGAUCGCCAUGGUUCGGUCAGGACGACUGCUGAGGGUUGAGAAGCGAGAUCGCCAAAAACGGUUCAGCUUGAUUGCUUAUAUCCGGGCAACACGACUGCUAGAGCUAUGCAGAGGGAUUUCCAUGUCAGUGUGGCUACUAGGAUUUAGGCAUUGUGCUCAUUGAGGAUUGGGGCAUGAAGCUUCUCCUUUAUUUAUAACACUAUUGUCUUCUAUUGGAUGCACAAUCAUAUACAAUGUUCCUUUGUUAUGUAAUUCGGCUCUUUGCUCUAAAUAGAGUCAACACUUCUGCAUAUUAUUGUAUGGCUUGUUCAUAGCUUGAUAGCGAUCACCAAUGCAAUGUUUUGGCAGUUUCGUUGUAAGUAUGGUUGUAUUUGGCAUUGGUAUCCCAUCGAACCUCGCCUAUUUUGUAGGUUCUUUUCUUGUAUUAGGUACUAGCAUAGCUAAACUUGAGUUGUUAUUUAUAGAUACAACCUAAAUGCUUAUACAAUUCAUAAAACCCCCAAUAAAUAGUUUAUUCUUUCAACAAAACAACUUUAGACCAGUUUUUGUUUGCACUUUGAUGACUUAUUAAGAAAGUAUAAGAGGAAAGGAUUUUUACGAUUACAAUAAGAAAUAAUGUUCUCACCAAGAGAAAAAAGGUCACAAAGAUGGUCACCAAGACAUACAUUAGGGUUUCACCCUAAUGUUGAUUAUAUACGAUUACAAUAACUGAUAUCCCACUAUUUAAUAGAUGUAUACCUAUCUAAGUAAAGGUCUGAUCCUAAUCACAAAGAUUAUGGAGCAUAUAUUUGUUCUAAAUGUAUACAUAUAAUCGCCUAAUAUACAAAGAAUAGCGAGAUCAUUAGCUUCACGUUAAUGCUAAUAAGAUCUCGUGUUGGCAUUGGCGUUGGUGCUGACGAUGGUGUAACAUCCCAAAAAUACGAGCCAAAAAUUACAUUUUUAAAACAUAUAUUUAGCAAAAUAUUCAAAAUAAAACGUUCACUGAUCAUAACAUUCUAUAAAGUUAUCGCAUGUCUGGAAAAACAUUUUCAUAAUACAUAAUAAUGUCAGAGUACAAAUCCCCAGGAAGAUCUCAAAGUGCGGAAUACAGGGCAUGUGUGUGAUGGGCCGCUACCGCGCCAGUUCCUUCCCCUUCGAAGAAGAGGUACCUGAAACCAAAACUGAAAACUAUAAGCACGAAUCUUAGUGAGUUCCCCCAACAUACCACAUACCAUACAAUCACAUAACUUACAUAUAUUGUCAGGCAUAUCUGGGUGCCCGACCUACCCCUUCGGUCCUCUCGACCGGAUACUGUCUAGUAUAUCUGGGAGCUGGCCUCCCCAUCGGUCCUCUCGACCGGAUACUGACCAGUAUAUCUGUGAGCUUGCCUCCCCUUCGGUCCUCUCGAUCGGAUACUGACUAGCAUAUCUGGGUGCUGAUCUCCCCUUCUGUCCUCUCGACCGGAUACCGGGGACUAUCUCACCCCCUACUACUACCACAUAUCACAUAUAUCUCAUAAUCUAUCUAGCAUGGUUGGGCAUGGCUGCCCCUUCGGCCCUAUCAACCGGUAUACUGGGGACUAUCUCCUCCUACUGUCACUAGCACAUAGCAUCAUAUCAUACUAGCACAAUAACAUAUCACAGGUAGUAGCAAUCCUAGAUGAAUAUCAUAGAGACAAACAUCUAUCAUACAAUCCUACUGGUGGGCCGGCAUUGUGGCCGUAGACCCACCACUACUGGAAGGUAACUCACCUUAAAGUAGUUGCUGAUCUGCGUGGGAACUGACUGUCUUCUGCUGCUGCCGCUCCGGAAAUCCUCCGGCUAUAAUUCCCACAAAACCCUUCGUGAAAUACUGCUAACUGACCUCAGGGUAAAAUGACCAUUUACCCCUAACCAACCAAGAGUCAAAGUCAAAGUCAACUGCCAAUUGGCCCGACUCGCCGAGUUGACUUGCCAACUCGCCGAGUCCCUAUCCCUUUGUCCGACCAUAACACCCGUCUCUACUCGUCAAGUUAAGCAUUGACUCGAUGAGUUCUCUUUCUAAACUAAAGGCCAAUAGUCCUUCAUCCUACUCGCCGAGUUGUAUGAACAACUCGCCGAGUUCAUCUUCAUCCGAAGAACACUCUAUGUUGAGACUCUCCGAGCUGUAUGAACAACUCGCCAAGUCUAUUCUUGAGGCAAGAAGAUUGCCUUGAACUCGCCGUGUUACUUCAUGAGUGAGUCUGGCUUCCGACCCACUGAGUCACACCCCAUGACUCACUACUCCAACCCGCAACACGAAAAGGGGGAAAACUCGGGGACUCGUGACUCGACUCGCCGAGUCUACCACAUGCAAAUACUAUAUACUCGAUUUUGCUUGAAUCCAGCUCAUGCCAUUCAUAGAUUUGGGUUUCUAGGGCCUGAUUAACACGUAAAGUUUCCAACUUUGCAUGUAAAUAAGCACUAAUGAGGGUUUUAGGGCUCAAAAUGCACCAAAAGAGUAGAUCUAUGGCUUUGAUGCAAUAUGGCUCCAUAAAGGCAGUAGAUCCAAGCUCCUGGAGCUCAAUCAUGCCUAGAUUUGAGGCUAAACAACUUAUUACCAACCCUAAUACACAAACAAGCUUGGGGAAAGGCUCAAGAAGAACUUUCAUGGAGCUACAAGGGACAAUAAGCAUGAAAACAGAGGGAAACUGAGUUAUACCUCAAGGAAAUCAGUGAGAUAACACAAGGAUGUCUGGUCUCCUUCUUCUCUUCUUGAUCUACUCUCUUUCCCCCUCCAAAUCUUCAAGAAAACACACCAAAAAUGCUUCAAUCUCACAAGGAACAAGGCUUGAACGAAGUAGAGAGCUCUGAGGGUGAAGGGGGCGAGCUUGGGGGCGGAUAAGAGGGUUUAAAUAGGGUGCAAACCCUUGAAAUUUAGGGUUUCAUCAGACAGCUGGGACUCGCCGAGUCCAGAAUGUGGACUCGCCGAGUCGCCAACUAAAUGUGCUUCCAAACCCGUCUCCACUUGGCGAGUCGGGCCUACAACUCGCCGAGUCCAAGGCUAAAAAUGAAAAUACUUAGAUAGAUUUUACGUACCAGGAACCAGGUGCUACAAAUCUCCCCCAAUUAGUUUAGACUUCGUCCUCGAAGUCUGUUGCCCGAUCCUAAAACAGCUCGGGGUAAUGCUCCAUCAUUUCUUCCACCGGCUCCCAAGUCCAUUCCGAAGCCUUUCGGUGCUGCCAUUGCACCUUUACUAAUUCCACCCUCUUGUUCCUCAGAUCCUUCGACUUCCGGUCGAGGAUUGGGACUAGGCGCUCAAUGUAAUUCAGGCUGUCAUCAACCUGUAUAUCCUCUAGCGGCACCACCGCUAAUUCAUCCACUAGGCACUUCCGCAGCUAGGAGACAUGGCAGGUGUUGUGGAUCUGACUGAGCUCGACUGGCAGAUCCAGCCUAUAUGCCACCUUUCCCACCUAGGCUAUAACCCUGAACGGACCAAUGUAUCUCGUGCCCAACUUGCCCCGCUUCUUGAAUCGAAUGAUGCCUUUCCAAGGAGACACCUUCAGGAGAACCAUAUCCCCGACCUGGAACUCCAGGUCUGAUCGACGCUUGUCGGCGUAACUUUUCUGUCGACACUACGCAGUCUGAAGCCUGCUUCGAACCUACUGGAUCCUCUUUGUCGUCUUGAGAACCACUUCGGUGCUCCCCAUGACCCUCUGGCCAACUUCACCCCAACAUAUCGGGGUCCUACACCUCCGUCCGUACAACAUCUCGAAUGGGGGACGGUCAAUACUCGCGUGGUAGCUGUUGUUGUACGAGAACUCAGCCAAGGGAAGAUAGGUAUCCCAGCUACCACCGAAAUCUAGCACGCAUGCCCGCAACAUAUCCACCAAAGUCUAGAUGGUCCGCUCGCUCUGACCAUCCGUCUGUGGGUGAAAGGCGGUGCUAAAAUGUAGAUGAUUGCCCAACUCAUCAUGAAACUUCUUCCAAAACCUGGAAGUGAACCGUACAUCUCGGUCUGAUAUCACUGACACUGGCACCCUGUGCCGCGCCACUAUCUCCCUGAUAUAGAUAUCGGCCAACUUUUCGGCCGAGAUACUCUCCUGGAUCAGGAUAAAAUGGGCGCUCUUGGUCAAUCGAUCCACGAUAACCCAAAUCGAAUCUACUCCUCGCGCAGUCCUGGGAAGCUUUGUGAUAAAAUCCAUCAUAAUAUCUUCCCAUUUCCACAACGGGAUGUCCAACGGCUGCAUCUUGUCGUGCGGUCUCUGAUGCUUGGCCUUGUCCUUCCUGCAGGUCAAACACCACUCGACAUACCAUGCCACAUCCCGCUUCAUGCAGGGCCACCAAUAGUAUAGACGAAGAUCCCUAUACAUCUUCGUCGCCCCCUGGAUGAAUAGAGAAUCGAGAUUUGUGUGCCUCCUCCAUCAAGAUCUGGCGCACGCCCCCGAGAUACGGUACCCACACCCUAGGGUGUAGUGUCAAUAAUCCUCGGCUAUCAUAAUUAAAGGAGGUGACUUGACCCACUAUUCGCUUGGUCUUCUGAUGUUCCUCCUUUAUAGCCUCCUGCUGAGGUUUCCGAAUCUGCUCUAACAGUGGAGUCACCACCGUCAUCCUCAUACACACAUCCAUGAACGGUGCCACCUUACGGCUAAGCGCAUCGGCCACCACGUUGGCCUUCUCCGGGUGGUAUAGGAUCUCACAAUCAUAAUCCUUCACCACGUCCAACCACCGACGCUGCCUCAUGUUCAGAUUCGGCUGAUCCAUGAGGUACCCCAAACUCUUGUGGUCCGUGUAAAUGGUACAUCGAACCCCGUAGAGGUAAUGCCCCCAAAUCUUGAGGGCGAAGACCACCGCCCCCAAUUCUAAAUCAUGCGUCAGGUAGUUCGCCUCGUGAGGCUUCAGCUGCCUCGAGGCAUAAGCAAUGACAUGCCCUCUCGGCAUCAAUACCGCGCCCAAACCUGAGAUAGACGUAUCACAGUAUACCACAAAAUCCUCUACGCCCUUUGGCAGGGCUAAGAUUGGCGCCUCACACAAUCUUUGCCUCAGAACCUCAAAUGCUGCUUGCUGCUCAGGCCCCCAUCGAAAGACCACGACUUUCUUGGUUAGCCGUGUCAGGGGUACGGCUAUCUUGGAGAAGUCCUGAAUGAACCUCCGAUAGUAGCCCGCUAAUCCCAGGAAACUCCGAAUCUCGGAUGGAGACUUUGGAACCUCCCAUCUCAUCACGGCCUCCACAUUGGCCGGGUCUACUGAAAUCCCGUUCUGGUUGACAAGGUACCUAAGAAACUGCACCUCGCANCGGCCUCCACUUGGCCGGGUCUACUGAAAUCCCAUUCUGCUUGACCAGGUGCCUAAGAAACUGCACCUCGCGCAACCAAAACUCACAUUUGGAGAACUUGGUGUACAAGUUAUCCCUCCUUAAGGUCUCCAAAACCUCUCUCAGAUGCUCCUCGUCCUCCUCCUGUGUCUUGGAAUAAACCAAGAUGUUAUCAAUGAAAACUAUCACAGACCGAUCCAGCAUCGGUCUGCACACGCGGUUCAUGAGGUCCAUGAACGCGGAAGGAGCAUUGGUGAGCCCAAACGGCAUCACCACGAACUCAUAAUGGCCAUAACGCGUCUGAAACGCGGUCUUCUACACAUCUUCCUCUCUGACCCUCAUCUGAUGAUAUCUUGAAUGCAGAUCAAUCUUGGAGAACCAAGAUGCUCCCUGUAGCUGGUCAAACAGGUCAUCAAUCCUCGUGAGUGGGUAACGGUUCUUCACCGUUACCUUAUUCAGCUCCCUAUAGUCUAUACACAUACGAUGCGACCCGUCCUUCUUCUUCACAAACAGGAUCGGGGCUCCCCAGGGUGAACUGCUCGGUCGAAUAAAUCCCUUGUCUAGCAGCUCCUGCAGCUGCGUAGACAACUCCUGCAUCUCGGGAGGAGCCAACCGAUAGGGUACCUUGGCUAUCGGAGCCGCACUAGGAACUAGGUCGAUCCUGAACUCUACCUGACGCUCCGGAGGUAUUCCAGGAAGCUCCUCCGGGAACACAUCAGUGUAGUCUAGCACCACUGGAACCUCGCUCACCGUCGCCUUACCAGUCUCCCGGGUAUCCAAAACAUACACGACAUAUCCCGCGCAACCCUGCUGAAGGUAGCGCCUAGCUCUCGCUGCUGAACAUAAUGUAGGUCCACGUUGCGGCCUCUCGCCGUGGAUCACCAACUCUCCCCCACUUGGGGUCCUGAUCCGCACUAACUGCUGUGCGCAAUCUAUCACCGCCCCAUUAGGGCUCAACCAAUCCAUGCCUAUAAUCACCUUGUUCCCUCGCAAAGGGAUGGGAACCAAAUCCACCAAGUAGCGCUCCUCAAAUAACCUUAGGAUACAAUCCCUGAAUACUGCNUACCGAUCGAUCAUCGGCGAUCUCUACCUCUAAAGGGCAAUCCAACAUGCCCGAAGACUCAGUAAACCUCUUUCUAGGCGCAAGGGAAACAAAUGAUCGGGGGGCACCCGAGUCAAACAACACCUGAACAGGAAUACCGUUCACAUGGAACGAUCCUAAAUCAUAUACACUGAGCACAUAUCAAUAUCAUAACAUCACAAAAAUAAAGUAUAGGGAAAGAAUCAUACCCAUCACCACAUCGGGUGCGGCGCGUGCCNNNNNNNNNNNNNNNNNNNNNNNNNNNNNNNNNNNNNNNNNNNNNNNNNNNNNCACCACUGGAGCCUCUGCCUUGCCCUGUAGGCCAUCUGUAAUCCGCAGGGUAGCUGGAGCCGGCGCCUUAACUGGCGUUGAUGCUAUCAACUGGGGGCAAUUGGCCUUCUUGUCGCCCCUCUGGUUGCAGUGAAAACAAAGCAACUCCGAUGUCUGAAUCACAGGUGUAGGGGCAGUACAAUCCUUGCUGAAGUGCCCUAACUUUCCGCACUUGUAGCAGCCUGACGAUCCCAACUUGCACGCUCCCUCAUGUGUCUUGCCGCAUUUCCUGCAGCGACCCCACCCCUGUUUUCCUUUCGGCCCCGCAUCUGAUCCCUUGGGCUUCUUCCCCGAAGCCCCCAUAACAUGCACCUCCUCCGCCUUCCUCUUCCGAAUGUGUUCCAGAUCUAUCUCCCUCUCUCUUGCCCUGGCAAUCAUAGAGUCCACGGUAGGGCAAGCUGAAAAACUGACAUGCUCCCGAAUAUCAGCUCGUAGCAUGUCAUGAUAGCGGGUCCUCCUCAUAUCCUCGACACCCGCGUACUGGGGCACCAGCAACACCCUCUCCUGGAACUUGGCGGUGAUCUCCGCCAUAGUCUCCGUCGUUUGUCUCAUAUCUAGGAACUCCCUGGCCAGCUACUGAAGUUGGACAUCCGGCACAAACUUUGCCCUGAACCUGUUCACGAAGUCCGACCAGGUCAUAGCCGAGGCUCCCAAAGAGUCACCAACGGACUCCCACCAAUCCCUAGCUCGAUCUCUCAAACAUCCUGCUGCAUAUCUCACCUUCCACCCCUCAGGGCAGAAGCUAGUCAACUGUGCAGACUCAAUGUUUGCAAUCCAUCGUCUGGCAGCUAUGGGGUCCUUCACCCCAUGAAAAUCCGGCGCACCACUGCCCCGGAAGUCCUUGAAGGACAGUGUGCGAGAUCCUGACAUGCUAGAUUCCAUGUCACUCCUGAAUGCCCUGAGGCGAUCCUCCAUCAUCUCCAAUAUCCUUUCCUUGAUCGACCCAAAUAUAAUGGGGGUCGACUCAAGGAUGCCUCUGGUGAUCUCUAACGUGAUGAACUCGCGUAGCCCCUCAUCUACUGGCUCGGAACCUGAUCCCGAACCUGAUCCCUCUCCUGUACUGCCAACUGCUGGCCUCGAGCGUAGUACCACCAUUUUGAAAUACAAAAGAAAUAACAACUGUUAGCGAUACUGAUACCUCUGGAGGGAUCACACCUACUACAAAUUCCCUGGUCUUAUCUUCGCCUUCCUCAGCUCGGGUACGGAUCCUCUACAUUCAGUAGUACGGGCCCAUACUAUCUUCCACAUCUAUCCGUACCUUCUCCAAGGACUGCCUUGACUCCACCAGGUCCCUCUCACUACUGUUGAUCACUGCUACUCUUAUCCUAGGCUUACCCUAGGAAACCUCUGACUCCACCCAAUCCAGUCCUCAGAUGCUGAAGGUCUCUUCGUAAUGCCAAUUAGCUAUUACCUAAAUACAAUCACAUGCGACGAGGCUCGGAUAAUGCUUUGAGUAAGGGACUCAUCCCUACAACGGUUAGGACUCAAACAAGAGCUACGCAAUAGGGUCAAAUCCAACACUCUGAGAUUAUUCUGUUGGAAUAGUGUCUAAGGUUGCAACUAUAUUAGGCAUGUAUUUUACUCGGUUGUGCAUGGUCCUUUUGGGUUGCCUUCACCAUAGCAACUUGACAAGAUGAUUUAUUAUGAGAGAAGAAAUAUUAUUAAUAUAUUAUGAGAAUAAUAUAAGGAAUAAUAAUAUUAUUAUUUGAUUAAUAUAAGUUAUAAAUUGAUUAGGAAUUAAUUAGGUGACUUAAAGAGAUUAAUUAAAUAAAGGGGCAUAAACUGUCAAUUGUGUGAUAGAUAUACUUUGGGCUAUAAAUCCCUUAUGGAUAAAGGGUGCCCGGUUUUAAGGACAUUGGAUAGGCCUUAAAAUUGUCCAAGACUUAUCAUGGAAGGGAUUAGGACUGCUUAGGGCCUAAGUUAUCCAAUUAGGGUUUAAGGGUGAAACCCUAGGAGCCUUACAAGUAUAAAUAGACCCCAAGGGUGAAGGGAAAUCGGCACUUGUGCUUAGAGAAGAAACCCUGGCCGAUUUGAUCCCCUCUCCUCUCUCUCAAAUCAUCCUCUUGCUAGUUGGUGUUUGUAAGCCAUUAGAGGAGUGACAAUUGUGACUCUAAAGCUCCAAGGACAAGAAGAUCAAGCAAGUGAUUCAAGGUAAACUUCUAAUUCUGAUUUAUUAUGUUAUUAUACUCUAUUAGUCAUUAGAAGUCUUGGAUUCAAUGCAUGUUUAAUCAGAGAAACCUAGAUCCAAGCAUUAGCGUUUGCAUGUGCACAUAGGAAUGUUCAUAUGGCUAAAACCCAUCAGUGGUAUCAGAGCCUAGAUUGGUUUCUAUUGAAUUGAUGCAUUGUUUGCUUGUUUGAUGCCUUCAAAAUUCGAAUUGUGUGGUUCUGUCUGAUGGACUCGGUGAGUAGGCUCGACUCGGCGAGUCCAUUGGGGUACUCGGCGAGUCCAAGCGUUAGAAAGAGCAAAUGUCGGGAUUUCUUGCUGUUUAUCUUUGAGAUACUUGCCUUUAUCAUAUAAGAUCAAUAUAAAUCCGAUUUUAUGAUAUAUAUAUGAGUAUAUUCUUGAUCUAAUUGAAGAUAUUUAUCAAUUAAUAAAAUAUUUAUUUCCGUAUGUGAUAAUUGAUUAAUUAUUUUGAUUAAAUUGGUAAAUUGUUUUGCAAGAAAUUAUUAAAUAAAUCAAAUAUGGAUAAUUAUGUGAUUAAAUGUUAAUUUAGAUUAUUUGUUAUUUGAUCCCCUAUGUUUUGAAAAGUUUAAAACUUGCCCUCAAGUUUUGAAAUUUAUGUUUUGUGAUUAAAAGUUUAAUUUAGACAAUUUAAAUUUCAAACCCUAGAAUUUUACAAGUUUAAAAUUCAACCCUAUACUAAUAUAAUAUUACAAGAUUAAUAUNNNNNNNNNNNNNNNNNNNNNNNNNNNNNNNNNNNNNNNNNNNNNNNNNNNNNNNNNNNNNNNNNNNNNNNNNNNNNNNNNNNNNNNNNNNNNNNNNNNNNNNNNNNNNNNNNNNNNNNNNNNNNNNNNNNNNNNNNNNNNNNNNNNNNNNNNNNNNNNNNNNNNNNNNNNNNNNNNNNNNNNNNNNNNNNNNNNNNNNNNNNNNNNNNNNNNNNNNNNNNNNNNNNNNNNNNNNNNNNNNNNNNNNNNNNNNNNNNNNNNNNNNNNNNNNNNNNNNNNNNNNNNNNNNNNNNNNNNNNNNNNNNNNNNNNNNNNNNNNNNNNNNNNNNNNNNNNNNNNNNNNNNNNNNNNNNNNNNNNNNNNNNNNNNNNNNNNNNNNNNNNNNNNNNNNNNNNNNNNNNNNNNNNNNNNNNNNNNNNNNNNNNNNNNNNNNNNNNNNNNNNNNNNNNNNNNNNNNNNNNNNNNNNNNNNNNNNNNNNNNNNNNNNNNNNNNNNNNNNNNNNNNNNNNNNNNNNNNNNNNNNNNNNNNNNNNNNNNNNNNNNNNNNNNNNNNNNNNNNNNNNNNNNNNNNNNNNNNNNNNNNNNNNNNNNNNNNNNNNNNNNNNNNNNNNNNNNNNNNNNNNNNNNNNNNNNNNNNNNNNNNNNNNNNNNNNNNNNNNNNNNNNNNNNNNNNNNNNNNNNNNNNNNNNNNNNNNNNNNNNNNNNNNNNNNNNNNNNNNNNNNNNNNNNNNNNNNNNNNNNNNNNNNNNNNNNNNNNNNNNNNNNNNNNNNNNNNNNNNNNNNNNNNNNNNNNNNNNNNNNNNNNNNNNNNNNNNNNNNNNNNNNNNNNNNNNNNNNNNNNNNNNNNNNNNNNNNNNNNNNNNNNNNNNNNNNNNNNNNNNNNNNNNNNNNNNNNNNNNNNNNNNNNNNNNNNNNNNNNNNNNNNNNNNNNNNNNNNNNNNNNNNNNNNNNNNNNNNNNNNNNNNNNNNNNNNNNNNNNNNNNNNNNNNNNNNNNNNNNNNNNNNNNAAUACAAAGUAACUACACAUAUUUCAAAAUUUCCCAAUCUUAGUUACUUUAGGAAAAGUGAAUUGAUGCAAUCCCAUGAAAUUACACUUUGCACCCUUGCUAAGAAGUUAGUGGAGCGUGUGUGGUUUACCGGCACACUAAUUGGUUCUAAGCAAAGGUGGCAAAGGGUGAUUCAUUGUUUAUCAUAGUUCGAUGGAGCGUGUGUGGUUUACCGGCACAUCGAAUAGGUGAUUGUUACAAUGAAGGCACCAUGUGAAUUUGCAUGGUAAUUCACACCCACUUUGUGAUCCUCGGUAUCCCAGUCACAAACGAGAGGGGCAUAUCGAGAUUUAAACAUGCCAUUGAAAAGUUUCAAUGAAUCUCAUCCAAACCUAGGAAUUCUCAAUACAUUUAGAACUUAAAGUUAUGUUUUCGUGAUGGAGAAUUAGUGAAUCGUCAUUCACUUACCUUCAAAUUGUUUGCAUGUUAGAUUACGGUAUCCCUUUUCUAAUAUGUAAAUAUUGUUGUUGGAUCCUAGCCCUAAUUUUUCUUAUUGGGUGAUAAUUAGGGAUUCAAAUUCUAACCUAUCUUUGUCCUUUCUGAUUCAAGAUGUCGAACGCGAACAACGUUGCUGCCAGUUCAUUCACGUUGACGAGCCUUUGUCAAAAGGUGAAUUUCGAUGGGACGAACUUUAGCGAAUGGAUAAGAUACAUUCGCACAAUUACUCGCUACGAGGACAAGGAGUUUGUCCUCGAUGAGAAGCUCGAGAAGAUUAACCCAGAAAUCGCUACUCUGGCUGAAAUGACUGCUUUUGAGACUCAUGAACGUGAUGCAACAAAGGUUCAUUGCAUCAUGAUAGCCACUAUGAACUCCGAAUUCCAAAAGUCCUAUGAGGACAUGUAUCCGUACGAAAUGCACCAAGACUUGUUGGAGAGAUACCACCAAAACGCGAGACAAGAGCGUUAUGAGAUUUUCACUAACAUGAUUUCCGCUAAGAUGGGUCAUGGAGAGUCUCUUACCGUGCACCUGCAAAAGAUGCAAAGGUAUGUCGACCGUCUACGCAAGUUGAAUGUUGACUUUGGGGAAGACUUGGCGAUCGACAUGGUGAUUCACUCUUUGCCUCCGUGCUACAAUCAAUUUAGGAUGACCUACCACAUGAACAAAGAAGAGGUCACCCUAAGUAAGCUCCAAGGUCUCCUUAGGGUUGCUGAAAGCAACCUCAAGGACAAGUCUGCUUCACCAACUCCCAAUCCACCCGUUGCUCCUGUUUUGGCCAUAGGGCAAGGAAGAGGAAAGAAGAAGAAGGCUUCGUCUAAGAACCAUCGCAAGAUUAAGUCCCGAGAUGGUGCCUCUUCUAGUGGGACCAAAGUUGAUCCUGCUAAACCCUGUCCUAACCCAAAGGAGGCAGAGUGCCACCACUGCCAUAAAAUAGGACAUUGGAAGAGAAGCUGCCCAGAAUACCUGUAAGCUAUCAAGAAAGGAAAGAUCAAGCCAUCUUUCGUAGGUAUUUACAUAAUUAAAUCUAAUAUUUCAUCUCAUGCUAUUUCUUGGGUCCUUGAUACGUUACCACAUUUGUUCUAAUUUGCAGGGACUAAGAAGAAAUAGGGAUGUGGAGCAUGGAAGAAUAAGUCUAAUCAUGGGGAACAGAAGAUCGUCGCCUGUGACCAAGAUUGGAGUGUAUUCUUUAGUGCUUAGGAAUGGUUUAUGUUUAGAUUUGAACAAUUGUUGCUAUUCGCCAGAAAUGGCAAGAAACAUCAUUUCAUUUCAUGGUUUGUUUAGACAAGGUUUUAGAUUUUCUUUUAAUAAUGAGAAUGGUUCUAUUCUUGCUUAUCUAAAUGGUGUCUUAUAUUUUUAAGCAAUACCGUGUAAUGGAAUUUAUGAAACUGUUAUGAUUGUAGAUAACUUAGGAAAUGAUGUUUUAUGCAUGGAUUCUGCCAAUGGUAUGGAUAGAGCAUCCUUGUGGAAUUGUCGUCUUGGACAUGUCAACAAGAAGCGCAUAGCCCAACUCCAAAAGGAUGGAGUGUUGGAGUCAUUCGACCUUAGGGAAGAUGACACAUGCGAGUCUUGUUUACUUGGAAAGAUGACUAAGUCACCCUUCACUAGUACAUGUGAAAGGGGUGAGGGUCUAUUGGACCUAAUACAUACCGAUGUAUGUGGACCAUUUAGAUCAACCACGAAGGAUGGGAACUGCUUCUACGUGACUUUUACCGAUGACUAUAGCAGAUAUGGGUAUAUCUACUUAAUCAAGCAAAAGUCAGAAACAUUUGAAAAGUUCAAAGAGUUCAAGAAUGAAGUGGAGAAUCAAUUGGGCAGGAAAAUCAAGAUGCUUCGAUCCGAUCGAGGAGGAGAGUACCUAAGUCUUGAAUUCCACGAUUAUCUCAAGGAGUGUGGAAUAGUUUCACAAUUGACGCCACCUAGGACACCGCAGUUGAAUGGUGUGGCAGAAAGGCGUAAUCGAACCUUAUUGGAUAUGGUUCGCUCUAUGAUGAGUCGUGCUUCACUACCUAUCUCUUUUUGGGGGUAUGCCUUAGAGACUGCCGCCCAUAUCCUUAACCGAGUCCCUACUAAGAAGGUUGCCAAAACACCUCACGAGAUGUGGACAGGGAAAGCUCCCUCGUUGGCACAUAUCAAGGUUUGGGGUUGCGAGGCUUUCGUAAGACGAGAUACUCACGACAAGCUUGAACCUCGAAGUGAGCGAUGUAUUUUCAUCGGCUACCCGCAGACAUCCUUUGGAUAUCUCUUCUAUAGACCGAAGGACAAUGUUGUCUUCGUUGCGAGGAGAGGAGUUUUCCGAGAGCGAGAACUCAUAAGCCAAGGAGACAGUGGGAGGCAAAUCGAACUUGAAGAGAUUCAAGAGUCGAUAGAUGAAGGAACCUCUACCGCUGGCACUCAACCCGAGGAGGAAACUCCGGUUGAACCGAUUGACGAAUCCUUACCUCUUAGACGUUCCGAUAGAGUUAGAGUUCAUCCCCAGUUUUAUGGUUUUCAUAUUACUACCGAAGGGGACACGUAUAUUAGUGAUGGUACACUAGUAAAUCUUGAUGAACCUAAUAGCUAUAAGGAAGCCAUGGCAGGCCCGGAGUCUGCAAAAUGGAAAGAGGCAAUGGAUAGCGAGAUCCAAUCCAUGUAUGAUAACCAAGUUUGGAAUUUGGUUGAUUAUGUGCCCGGACGUAAGACCGUUGGGUGCAAAUGGAUCUUCAAGAAGAAGACCGACGUGGAUGGAAACGUACACACAUAUAAAGCGCGAUUGGUUGCGAAGGGCUUUACUCAAACUCCCGGAGUUGACUAUGAUGAGACCUUCUCACCAGUUGCGAAGAUUAAAUCUAUUAGAGUGAUGCUAGCUAUUGCCGCAUUUCAUGAUUAUGAGAUUUGGCAAAUGGAUGUCAAGACCGCUUUCCUUAACGGAAAGUUGGCUGAGGAUGUUUACAUGGCUCAGCCAGAGGGGUUUGUGGAUCCGAAGCAUCCGGAUAGAGUGUGUAAGCUUGAGAAGUCCAUUUAUGGACUUAAGCAAGCGUCUCGCAGAUGGAAUCUUUGCUUCGAUGAGAAAGUCAAAGAGUUUGGAUUUGUACGAAGCGAAGACGAAUCUUGUGUAUAUGUCAAAGCCAGUGGGAGUAUAGUAAGCUUCCUCGUUCUAUAUGUCGAUGACAUAUUACUCAUAGGAAACGACAUCCCGACUCUGCAGGAGGUUAAGUCCUGGCUCGGGAAGUGCUUCGCUAUGAAGGACCUCGGAGAGGCUUCUUACAUUUUGGGAAUAAGGAUAGUAAGAGAAAGAAGUAAGAGACUAAUUGGACUUAGUCAGAAUACUUACUUAGAGAAGGUACUAAAACGUUUUAGUAUGGAAAACUCAAAGAAGGGAGAACUACCGAUACAAAGUAAUGCCAAAUUGAGUAAGACUCAAAGUCCGAGUACCGAAGCUGAGAUAGCAGAAAUGAGCCGAGUACCAUACGCUUCCGCAGUUGGCUCAAUCAUGUACGCUAUGACUUGUACUCGCCCUGAUGUAGCCUUCGCUUUGAGCAUGGUUAGCAGAUAUCAAGGGAAUCCUGGCAAAGCACAUUGGAUUGCGGUGAAGAAUAUCCUUAAGUACCUUCGGAGGACGAAGGAAUGGUUCUUAGUCCUCGGAGGGAGUGAUGACUUGAAGGUGCGAGGGUAUAGUGACGCCAGUUUUCAGACCGACAGGGACAACUACCGUUCGCAGUCGGGCUGGGUCUUUACCCUAAAUGGAGGAGCAGUGACAUGGAAGAGUUCCAAGCAGGAAACCGUAGCUGAUUCAACGUGCGAAUCAGAGUACAUUGCAGCGAGCGAAGCGUCGAAGGAGGCAAUAUGGCUAAAGAACUUCAUCGGUGAUCUUGGAGUUGUACCUGCCAUAAAGGAGCCAAUGGAGAUUUUCUGUGAUAACGAAGGCGCGGUUGCCUUGACCAAGGAACCGAGGGAUCAUGGUAGAUCAAGACAUAUCGACAGAAAGUAUCACUUCAUUAGACAUCGUGUAGAAGAAGGACAACUCGUAGUGAAGAGGAUAUCAUCAGAAGAUAACCCAGCAGAUCCGCUUACGAAGGGACUGAGUAGGGUUAAGCACUUGCAGCAUGCUAGGAGUAUUGGGCUGAAGGAUGAUAUUAGC